GAGGCAUAACCUUUUGAAAAGAUAGGUAUUAAGAUCUUCGACUGAUUGAUUGCUUCAGGAAGUUCUGGGGCAAACUCUUCCCCGACACGGAGCGCGUCAUCGUCCCUAAAUGUGCGGAUUCCUGCAUCUAUAAGAUAAUUGUAAAGGAAGUCGGUAAAACCUGAUCGUGUGUCAGGCCCUCUGAAACUCAAGAAUACUUCAUAGUCAUGUCCGGAAGAUGUUGCCGUUUCCUCAACUUGUGGUGUAGUGCAAGUAUGAGCAGCCCUCUCUACGGUACCAUUCUGUGGAGCUGAAUCAUUAUCUGCACUGCCCUCCACAGCGGUCUGACCUGCUCUUUUCUUCAGGAAUCCUUUGAACAGGAUGGCAGAGAGAGAUAUGGCAGCAACUGUCACCAUACAGGGCAACCGCAAGUGCUCAAGCAUUUUGUGAGUUAGCAAAGAGAAGGUUUUUAGUUAGAAAUACAGGGGAAUGGUGGAACAGCAGAGAUGAGAGGCGGCACUUAAAGAUCAGGAUGGAGUAACGAGGAACGGCUAGAAAUCGCCAGAGAAAGAGUAGAGACUGAGGCGAGGGCGGCCACUGAUGCUGCGACGGAACAUCGACGAGGCAGACGAGGAGAAGGAUCGAGAGAANNNNNNNNNNNNNNNNNNNNNNNNNNNNNNNNNNNNNNNNNNNNNNNNNNNNNNNNNNNNNNNNNNNNNNNNNNNNNNNNNNNNNNNNNNNNNNNNNNNNAUCACCCAUUCUGUAUGCGGUAAUUCCGCUCGGGGUAUAACAUUCAACUGCAAUUUCAUAAAAGGUUCUGAAGGAUUAUUCUCUACACAUCAGAAAAGGUCACCAUCUUUCAUCUGGCAUUUCCUAAACAUUGUUCACACUGCGCUAGCUUUGAGGAAGAAAAAAAAAAUAGUAGCAACAACGUUUCACGUGCUAUGAUGCAUAACAAGUUGGUCUCCAAGACCAACCCAUCACAUCCGCUUUGAUGUAAGUUGUCUCUUCUCAUAUCUUAGGAACGAAAAUUGUCCCUUUCUAAGGUUGAUUCUAGAGAUUUGGCCCUCCACUUUCCUUUUUGAGUUCAUAUUUGAUCACAUCCUUUUAUUUGAUGAGCAAAACUAAAAUACGAAUCCUACACUUCGGUGACCGUUUGAAUUCUUGCCCAAGGCUUUCAUAUUACAAAAAAAAAUAAAAAAUCAAUGUAUUUAAAAAAUACUUCAGCUGUGCUUGCAAACAAGUGUAAGCUGAAGUAUUAAAGUGGUGGAAUGUCAUUGGAAGGUUAAACCAACGAACAGACCAUGGCUAGCAGAGUAUCCUUCCAAAUGUCACUUCUAGAAAUAUAGACAUAGCACAAUGUAGAGUUUUCUUCUUAAAAAAAUUUGGCUCGAAUCUCAUGAACUUAAAUAAUUCCCAAAGGGUCUUACAUCUCAACAAACAACAUGAUUGCAUUUACAUUGGACACAGCACAGUGCAAAGUUUCCGGCCGGCCACCCCGGAGGAGUUGCCCUCCUCCGGGACCUUUCAUUGGAGGUUUACCAACCUAGUAUGCUAGGAGAAGGCAGUGACCUCCCUCCAGGCGGGAUCCCAGCACUAGAAGUGCUAUGGCCGGAGAGCCCAAUGGGGACUCUAUCCUGUUUUCCUCCCCUCACUUCCCUGUAAAUGGGUUGUGGGAGGAAGCACCCUAGGAUGUCCUAUUAAGGGUGGAGCACUUUAAGGACCUGCUUAGGUCCUCACUUCUAGAAAUAUAGACAUAGCACAAUGCAUAGUUUUCUUGUAAAAAAAAUUUGGCUCGAAUCUCACGAACUUAAAUAAUUCCCAAAGGGUCUUACAUCUCAACAAACAACAUGAUUGCAUUUACAUUGGACACUGCACAGUGCAAAGUUUUUUUUUUUUUUUUGGUUAGUGCAAAGUUUUUAUUCCCCUUAAAAUAAAAUUAAGAAAAAAGACAAAAAGACAAAAGUUCGAAUCUUUUUGAAUCUCUAUAAUAUAAAUAAUUUCUUCCUAAUGUCACUUCCAGAAAUAUGGACAUCUAGUCUCUCUAGAUUAGAUCAAAACAUUAUCCAACGCAAUUCAUUUGAUGAAUGGUUGUAGUUUGAAAUCUUACAAAGUUCUAAAAUUCCGCUGGCCAAAAAGGAGUUUUGAUAUAUGCGUUGUAAGUUUGAAUAAUCAAAUAAUAAAUUUCAAAUAUAGCUGGUAAGUGAAAAUUACAUAUGACUUUAUAUAUAUAUAUAUAAUAGACCAAGUAACGAUUGCAGCCAUAAGGACGUACUUAAGCUGAACUUGCACCGAGAGCAACCAUGUCUACUGAAGAGAAAAUAGCCGACCCUGAGGCGGCGAAGCCGGCUGAAGCGCUGCCGCUGAAAGAGGAGGCCCUGCCUCCACCCACGAGGCCUCCCGACGAGGCGAGCUUGCUCACAGCGGACGUGGCUCUUCAAGGGUUGCUGUUUGCUUCGAUGCUAAUCGCGCUCUUGAGGACCAUUCUAAGUUUGGUUCUGGAGAUUUGGUCCUCUACUAUCCUUUUUGAGUUCAUAUUUAUAUUAUUGAUGCACACCAAUACACACGCUUUUACUUGAUGGGCAAAAUUUAAAAAAUCGAGCAAGUUAAUUGAGUCGAGCCCCGAUACCGCGGCCACAUGCAACCACGGCCGUGCGAGGCCAGCAACCUCCGUCUGUCGCGACUUCUAUUGGACAUAGGUUGUGAGUUCCGUGCGGAGAAAAAAAGAGACCAUAGGAUAGCAAACAAGUCAAAUCGGUGAGGAGUUAAUGUCGCCGGUGGAUUCACACAUGAAGGUGAGGGCUUGUGAUGGCAAUGGGUGGGCGACACGUAAAAAUCCUAAACUAUAUUAACUAUGACACUAAUUAUUCCAAAUUUUUUUUUUCAUCAUAAAAAAUCGAAACUCGUAUCAGAAAUCCAAAAGUACUCUCCAUCCAAGUUGGUCAUUAAAAAUUUAAUGUGCCUGUUUGCGUGGACAACAAUAGACAAAUGAAGCAGACAUGACUCGGGAGAAUUCCACCAAAAAGCCUAAACCUUGCCUGGUGUGACAACGAAACCCAAUUUUUUUACCUGUUACUAAUACUAUAUAUAAACUUGUACCAGUGACUUGCAAAUAUUAUGCAUCACAGUUCCAUUCAAGACGGCCGUUAAAAAUCCAAUGUGACCGCUUGCUUGGACAUCGAUAAGCAAAUGGAGCCAAUGUCGAUAUGAUGUGAUUUUAGUAUGGUCUAAAGUGACUUUAGACCACUUGCCAAAGUUAUAAGUUUUUAAAAAAUUAAAUCUCCGUGGUAACAAGUUGUCUCUCACAAUUUUUAGGGUCCAGGAAGUGGUAUAAUUUGGAGAUGCAGUUUUUUUUAAGGGCUAAUACCCUAAAAAACCCCAAACUGGUACACUCGUGAUAAAUUUACCCUAAACUAUUUUUUUGACCACAAAAAAUCCCAAAUUGGUAUUACUUUUGACAAAUUUACCCCAAACUGGUAUAAUUGUGAUAAAUUUACCCUCUGUUAGUUUUCGUUAAAUUUUAUUGUCAAAUUAUUAAGUUAAAUGACACGUGACAAUUAAUUAAUAUAUCAAUUUGAGAUUUUAUGAUCCAUUUGUCAUAGUUUACAAUUUUUGUGAUUUUUUUGUAGUAUUAAUCCAAUUUAGCGAAUAGUAUAUUUGUCACAAUUUAUCAGUUUGGGGCUUUUUGUGGUUGAAUAAAUUAGUUUGGGGUAAAUUUGUCAUAAAUGUACCACUUUAUGGUUUUUAAUGGUCAGUCGGGGUAAAUUUGUCACAAGUGUACCAAUUUUGGGUUUUUUAUGGUAAAAAAAAUAGUUUUGGGUAAAUUUGUCCUAGAUGUACCAGUUUGAGGUUUUUCAGGGUAUUAACCCUUUUUUUUUAAUAAUAAUUGGGACGAAUUCCUCUCUAUUUAACUUAAAGCGCUCCGAGCUUAAUUUGAAACUAAUAUGCAAAAUAAACGAGCUUCAACUUAUUCUCCAUUUAUUUCGUAAAAAAUGAAUGAUUUGGAAAACAUUUUAUAUCGUUCAUAAAAAUGAAUAAAUUAAAUAUAUUUUCAUUAUCUAUGAAAAUAUUUAGAUAUAAAUUAUUAUCGAUAGUAAAAAAAUUUCAUUAAUUAAUUAUUUCAAGAAAUAUAAACGAUGAUUAUCAUUCAUUUUUCACGAAAUAAACGGAGUGCUAACUUUAACAAAAGUGUAAUGAAAUAUAUUCUUGCUUUGCCUUUCUUUUCCUUUUUCUCUAUGCACUUGAGACCUUACAUUCGUCCACCUUCUUUUUAGCAUUUCACUUAUGUUCUUCUCCUUUUCGGGACAAGAAAGAAUAUGAAGGGAUAUGAUUGUUCACUUUGGAUCUCUUUAUUGGCAUCAAUUAUAUGGUCUAUCGUCAUACCAAUCUGAUAUCUAUCAACGUCUUUUUUUUGGAUAUGGAUUCAUCAACAAUGUUAGCGUGCAAACACUCAGUACAAUUUUGUGCCGAAGGGUAAUACUUUUCCCCAAAAAAAAAAAAAAAACUGGAAUCCCUCACGAUCUUCCUUCUUUGUUCGAUGAAAAAUCAUUUCUGGAAAAUUUCUUUCCUUACUUUCCAGUUUUUGAAUCACGUAAAGCUACUCGAUCCAUAAAAACGUUUACCAUGGGCUAAAAGUAAUAAAUAAGCUUAGAGAAAAAUGACUUGGCAAGAAGAAUUGUUUUCCCUGAUUUUUUUCCUAAUUUCUUUGUAAAUCGUUGUUAUUUUCAUGGAUUAUAGAAUAAACGGUGAUGAUAGUCAUCACAUGUUACUUUUAACUAUAUAAGCCACCCUUAAUGAAUUCACUUAUUACCAAUUAUGAUAAAAUCAAUUUCUUCAACUUGUUUUCAGCACGAUCAAAAUUUUGUGUUUACUUUUUCUGAGAUUGAAUUUCCUAAAACAUUUUCCCUCAAAAAAAAAAAUUCUUAGUGAGAUAAACACAACCUAAGAGUUUGUUUUCACAUGAUGUUAUUCGAUUGAAAGAAAUAGUAAGAUGGAAUUAUCAAUGGAUAUGAGAAUUGGACAUUGAUUUGUUGUCAUAUGAUUAUUGGGGGUUGAAUAAGAGAAUAAUGAAUCGGUGUAGCAUUUUAUAGAAUGAUCUUAGUGAAAUAAUUUUACGAUAAAAUCUCUACGUUUAUGGAAGUCUGAUUGGGAGGCACAGAGUGCCAAAUCAAUGGAUCAUUGAUGUGAUUCCUUCCUGAGCAAGCUGGUUCAUCAUGGACUCUUGGUAGUCAAAGUCUUCGUUGAUUUUGACUUUGCCAUUCUAAUCCUGUGACGUUUCCUUCUCGUUGCACCACUCCAUACGCUGUUCUAUCUUCUUUUUUUUCUCUCUUUCUGAGAGUGGUAGCUAAUGCGAUUUUAAAUCUAAUGAUAGUAUUUUGACGCAAGGCAAAAUUAUAUGUAUACUACAUUUUUAUUCUUUCCAUUCAAUUAAAUUAGAUUUUAUCAACUUUUCUAUUGAUUGAUGACACGAUUGGCUAGAUUAUUUAAAGAUAAAAUAUCUUCUGAACAUAUGGUAUUUGUUUUGCAAGUAUUUUUCAAAUUUCUAAAUCAAUUCCAUGGCUACUAAACAUUUUGUAUUUCACGAGAGAAAGUAGCCACUUCGCAACUAAAGUUUCAUGAUAUCGACUCGAUAGAAACCAAAAUAGCCAAAGUCAACUUCUUUCAACCAUUCUUUAGCCAACCAAAGUCACUCGUAAAGAGUUGGCCUUUAUAAUAUCAUAAGCUUUUCAAGAUCGGGAUAACGAUCAAUUCCAUGAUGAAUAAACAAAGCAUUACCUCCUCUUCAUUGAUCUCUCUUGAUCUUCUCUCCGAGAAAAAAAAGUCGAACUGUAUAACAGCAAAAUCAAUGCAGCACAUUGCGAAAUCUAAAUCACUUUUAGAAGCCAAAAUUACAAAUGGAGAUCUCCAUGGGUCAAUAAAAGUAGAACACAGGAUAUGUUGACUAAGCUAAGAGCCGGGGGCAGUUCGUAUUCUAAUGAUAUGUCUUUGUAGAGUUUGCUUUCACCCUGAAACAGAACCGCACGGUGUCCAAUGCGUCUUCCUUCUUCCAUUGAAUCAUAUCAUCCGAGAGCACCGUGUCGCCAUAAAUGCCCCCGCCCUUGCCCACAAAUUAACAAGAAUGACGGGGGCACGGGGACCCACUCGUGGCUUUGCUUGAACAUAAUUGUAGUGUCGCCUUCAGGACAGGGGUGUGUCCCAUUCGGGGAAAAAGUAUCAUGUCUAUUUUGAAGAAAACGCCCCGUCUGUUUUUCGUGCUCUCCAAACCUCAAAAAUACAAAGGAAGUUUGGGAAAAUAUGGCAAUUUCAAUGGGGACGCAUGGGCUAAAAAUCCAUGAUUUCGGGGUUGCCCUGCCAAAUGCGGCGUAUGGACUAGAUUACACCUCUCUUCACUUCCUCCCUAUUCUUCGAGCAGGUCUUGCCCGCUCGAGCCGCAGGGCAUGUGAACCUGACUCGUGCACAACUGGAUUAUGUGAAUUCUCUAUACGUUCCAUCUCAUCCAUUGGUACGCAUGACCCUAGAUUGAUUUAGCAUCUUCUUCCUAUUAAGUGGCUCCCGCUUCACCGCACCCGAUAUCAUCAAUCUCCUCAUGUGAGUCAUGUGACCACCGACAGUUGACAAGUUUAUGUUCCAUCCGCCAUGUGAGUUAUGUGAUCACCAACAGUUUAUAGGUCUAUGUUCCAUCCGCCAUAAUCAUGGCCCCUUGUCCUUUUCCCUCUGCUCCUCUCCUUUCUUCCCUAUCAAUUGUGUUUUGUCUUUUUUAUGCUGCCAAAAUACCCAAUGCCCUCUUGGCGAGGAAUUUAUUUAUCCUUUUCUUUAUGGUAUUGAUUUUAAUGAUAAACUGGGAUGAUGGCCUUUCUCUGUUCCUAAAAAAAUCUCUAGAUAUAAAUUUGGGAGUUUAAUAAAUAUACUUUAGGGGAUUCAAUGCUCUCAUGCUUUAUUCAUGUAUAGAUUCUCUGCCCCAGUCUUAAUGAUGAUCUUAGGAGUUUUAGCAUCUCGUUGAAUUACAAAGAUUUAUUCCUCCACACAUUAGAUCUGUGUUUAUCUAACAUAUUAUGGUUGUUUUCAUACAAUGAUGGUAUAGAGGAAGCUGAAUCUAGGCAUGCACCAUCAACUAACAACAUCAUAAUUAUUGAAGAAUGAAUUUUUUGGCGUGUACUCAUCACUGACAUAGACUCGAGAUAUGGUGAUUGGUUGCCACUUUUGUUUGACAUAUCUGUUCAUGUGGAACGAGUUUGUGUUUAACUUUGCAAUUGCUCCAUCAAUCCUCCUUAUGUUCUGGAUUUGGCUUUGUUUUUUAGUAUUCAUGCUCUGUUUUGAUUUGCUUUGUCAUGAAAAUUAUGUACUUCUGCAUCCUUUUGAGUAAUGAAUACAAUUUUCUUUCGAUCGAAAAAAAAAAAAAAACUAAGUCAAGCCCCGACACCACAGCCAUUCAACCAUAGAUUUGUGGCUCUGGCGACCUCUGCCAAUCGCGAGUUCCAUGUACAUAGGUUUAUGAGCUUUGUGCAAAAAGAAAAAUCCCAACGCUGAGUGCGCAAUUCCAUAAAAAACCUAACCUUUAUAUUUACCGUAAUACCAAUUAUCCAAGCUGUAUUUUUAUCAUCAAAAUCCCAAACUUAUAAGGUAACCAAAAAAUACGUUCCAUCAAAGUUUGGUCCAAGAUAAAUGUUGAAAAUCUAAUGUGGCGUCUUGGAUGGCGAUGAACUUAAAAAUCUGAAUAAAGCUUUUGAAAGAAAACUGGACUUAGCAACUUUUAGGGUCCAAGAAGGAAGAUAAUCCACUUGGCGGUCCUUUUUGUAAAAGAAAUGAGCUACAAUUUUAACUUCAAAGGAAAAGUGUGAUGGAAUACAAAUUCUUGCUUUGCUUUUACCCUUUUCCGCUAUGCGCUUGAGACUCACAUUCGUCCACCUUGAUUUUAGCAUUUCACUUUUGGUCUUACUCCUUCUCGGGAGAAGAAAGCAUAUGAUGGAUCUCUCUUUAUUUGGAUUUUUUUUUUACGACUCUCUUUAUUUGGAUGAAGAGACCAAAAUAUUCAACAUGCCCCGGUUUAGAAUUUUUUUAUCUUUCCUUUUAUUUAGUUUCUUUUCUAGGUGAACUUCGUUUAAACUCCACGACAACUCCUUCCACAUCAUUCCUUGACCUUUUCGCACGUUUCUUCCUUUGCUUCAAAUCCUUAAUCUUCCCCUCGUUGGCACUGCUCUCUGCUCACACGCCUCCAAAACCCUAACCCCAUGCCCAUGGCCAUGGUCAUUUCCGGUGAUUGACGAACUGACCUCCUCAAAGUUGCCGGGGAGUGCAUGAUCGAUGUGAACGCUCCAACACCAGCAAGACCUUCAGACUUCGAUGGGUACAGAUGUGGACUAAAUGAACCUAUUGGUAUUUGACAAGGAUGACAUGGAGGAAACACGAUGAGGCAGCCAAGGAGGAAAAAUAAAAUCCCGCAAGAUCCAAAGGUGUGAAACUGUUUGGUUCUAGAAUUCAUGGGCUCUUAAGAGUGCGUUUGGUAACGUUUCUGUUUAAAAAUUGUUUAUGGGAACAGAAAUUAAAAAAAAAAAGUGUUUAUGUUCCAGGGAACAAUUUUUGAACAAAAAAACGCGUUUGGUAAAUCUGUUCCAGAAAUACAAAAAUAAUAGAAACACGUUUGGUAAGUUUGUAUAAUUUUUUUAUUUCUUUUAAUUUUUUAAUAUUUUUAUUUUUAUUUUCUAUUUUCUUUCUUAUUUUUCUUAUUUAUUUUUCCUUUUUUCUUUUUUCUUUUUCCUUUUUCCUUUUUUCUUCUUUUGGCCGGCGGCCUCGCCUAGCCACAGCGAGGCUCGCUGGCCCCUGGCAAGGGGCGGCGUCGUUGGCCGCUGUGUGAGCUCGGCCUCGCCGGGUUUGGGCGAGAUCGAGCUCGCCCAGCCAAGCGUGAGGUCGGCCUCGCCGCGCCGGGCCGACGGUGACCCAGAGCCACACCGUCGUCUCCCUCCACCGCAUCGGCAACCGCGCUCGACGCCUCCUCACCGCCACCGCAUCGGCGACCACCCCUCCGCCUCACGCUCGAUCGACGCAUCUGCAGGUCUCGAGCCUCCGUUCGCCACCGCCGCAUUAGAUCUCACCGCGCCAUGACCCACGACUUUGAGAUCCGCUCGAUCGUCGACCCCGCGCCGGCCCACGACUCGACCGGCCGUCCUCGCCGCUCCGCUCCUAGACGUCCGCCGCUUGAGACCCCACAGCCGAGCCCCGCACCGCAGCCGCCGCCGCCGCCGCCUAGCGACCCGCGACCCAGCUCCGUCACCCGCUCGCAGGUGGAGACGCUUGCAGCGGCUGUCGGUGCCAGAGAGGACGACGGUGGAGAAGCCAGAUGGUCUCGAGACAGAGGCGGCUAUCGGCGCUGGAGAAGACGACGGUGGAGACGCUUGCAGGAGGAGAGGCUCGCAGGAGAACAUGAUUUUGUUUCUUUUUUGUUCUUCAAAUAUGUUUCAGAAAUAAGAAACAAGAAUUUCUCAUUUCUUAUUUCUGUUCCCUUUUUGUUUCUGGGAACAAAAAAACAAAAAAGGAACAGAAACGCACCAAAACGCGUUUCUGUUCCUUUUUUGUUUCCAGGAACAAAAAAACCAGAAAUUUUUGUUUCUGGGAACAGAAACACGGUGCAAACAAACGUGCCCUAAGUCUUUUCAUACGUACAUCCGAAUUUGACAAAAGCAAAAUUUAAAAUUGAAGCAAUUAAUCACGAUUGACUUGAUGAGUCAAAAAAGACUCUUGGGAAGUAUAAAAUUCAUCGAUUCGAGACCAACGGAAGAUCAAAUUUGUUUUCCGAUAGCUUUAGCUUUGAUUAAACUCCACUAAACUUUUGUUUUAGUAAAACAAAACUCCAAAGGUCUCAUUGCAAUUUUUUUUUUCAAAAUCGGACUCCUUCCAUUUAAAUUGAAAUUGAGUGUCCUCCAUUAUAGCUCAGAAGCUCCAGGAAGAAGAGAAAAUAGGUGGGAUCCCAUUGCCUUAACUCAUCUCUUUAUAAUAAAAAAAAGAGAGAGACUUUUCGUAUUAGAUGCAGGCCUUAACUAUCAAAGACCACUCCUUCACCAUAGAAAUAUCAAGGAAAUAAAAAGGAAAGAUCUUUUUCAAUGACUUUUGGGUAGGUCAUUGAACUUAGAAGCCAUAGGAUUGGCUGAACAUGCAGAGAGAGCCAGUUUGCUGCAAAAUUUGGUCAAUAACGAUGAUUCCUUGAAGCAUCGGUCAAGCUUGCCAAAGUUGACAAUUAUUUAUGUUUCUUAACACAAAAAAAAUCACUAGACCAUGUGAUGCAAAAAUUUUGGGAUUAGAAUCGACUUUUGCGCCCCCCCCCCCCCCCCCCCAAAUAAAUGGCAUAUUCAUUCAAAGUCAAGUCAACAAAAGCAUACACCAAAUUUUGGUAAUUGACGAGUGUAUUAAUUUGGAGUUUUAUCAUUUAUUUGUCACAUAUGAUUGGUUUGUGCUUUUUCCUAGUAUUAAUCCUAUUUAACGGAAACUAAUGGAGGGUAAAUUUGUUACAAUGUGCCGAUUUGAAGUUUUUGGUUAUCAAAAAAUUAAUUUGGGAUAAAUUUAUCACGGGUAUAUAAGUUUGGGAUUUUUCGUGGUAUUAACUCUAAAAACAAUAAGAUUUAGAGAAAAACAACUUGGCAAGAAGAAAUCAUUACCCUUAUUUUCUUGCUACGCUUUAAAGUGAGAAGAAUAUACUUUAUCAAUGCUCAAUUUUUCUACAUUCCCAAGCACGAUUAAUCUAAUAUUUUACAAAUAUGAUUUCAUAAUUUCUAUCUUGAUUUCUUUGUAAUCGUUUUAUUUCAAUGGAUUAUAGAAUUAAUGAAGAAGAUAUCAAUUCUAGUUUAUUAGUCAUUCCAUGUUACUUUUAACGAUACAAGCCACAUCUAGUGGAUUCACUUAUUACUAAUUACAAUAAAAUCAGUUUUUUUCAACUUGUUUUCACCAUAAUCAAAUUUUUCCGAUUCCCUUUCUCUGAAAUUGAAUUUCCUAAAAGCAUUUUCCCGCAGCAAAAAUUAGCGAGAUAAAGAAAUCUUCAGGGUUUUUAUUUUUAUUUUUAUUUGAUUUUCUAAUUUCAUAUGACAUUAUAUGAUGGGAGGGAAUUGUAUGAUGAAAUUAUCAACGAAUAUGAGAAUUGGAGAGCAAUUUGUUGCCAUGUAAAUUUUGUGGUUGAAUGGGAGAAAGAUCAGUAAGUGUUGGAUUUUACAGAGUGAUAUGGUGACCUUUUUUUUCUCUUCUUUUUGAUAAAAUCACUACAUUUAUGGAUGUCUGUCUGCAAGGGACAAAGUACCAAAUGAAUGAACCAUUGGUGUGAUUCCUUCUUGAGCAAAAGCUGGUUUAUCAUGGACUGUUGGUAGUCCAAGUCUUUGUGGACUUUGACUUUGCCCUUACUGGUAGACUAUUCUUUUAUUUAUCUAUUUUCUUUGGAGAGUGGUAGGUAAUGCAAUCUUUAAUUUAAUGAUUUUAUUUUGAUGCAAGAUAAAAUUGUAUAUAUACUGCACUUCACAUGAUAACUAAAAAUUCUAUGUUUCACGAUGGAAAAAUAGCCACUUCACAAUUGAAGUUUCACAAUGCUAACUCAACAAUAGCCAAGGUAAGUUGCAUAUACCAAAAUCAGCUUUUGUCGACCAUUUUUUAGUCAAUAAAAGUCACCCGUAAAGCGUUGAUAUGUACGAUAUCAUAAGCUUUUCACGGUCCAAAUUAUGAUCAAUCCAAUGAUGAAUAAACCAAGCAUUGCCUCAUUUCCGUUGAUCUCAUUUGAUGUUUUCUUUGAGAAAAGAUUCAGACAUGGAAAAAAGUUCAGGAGCCCUACUUAUCAAGUGCUGCUAGGCCGGAAAAAAUAAAAAUCCUUGAUCAAAUGGUGGCCGCCAAUCAAUCAACUAUCAAAGUAAUUAACUCAUUGGGGACCUCAACCAUCAUUCAUGGCGAAACUGGCCCGUGAGGAUCCAUGAAAAUCUUGUCAAAAAAGCAAAGUGAUAGUGAAAAGAAAUAAAGCAAUACGGAAAAGAAAAAAAAAUAUGGAUUCUAGUGUGGAAAAGAAGACCCGCCUUUGCUUUAGCAUGUGCAUUUGGUAGUCCAAGUCUUCGUAUGCUUGGGUCAAUCAUUGGUUUGAUUCCUUCUUGGAGUAAAGCUGGUUCAUCAUGGACUGUUGUUAGUCCAAGUCUUCGUAGACUGACUUUGCCCUUCUAAUGCUGUGAUGUUUCAAUCCAAUGAUGAAUAAACCAAGCAUUGCCUCCUCUCUGUUGAUCUCAUUUGAUCUUUCCUUCGAGAAAAGAUUCAGACAUGGAAAAAAGUUCAGGAGCUCUACUUAUCAAGUGCUGCUAGGCCCAAAAAAAUAAAAAUCCUUGAUCAAAUGGUGGCUGCCAAUCAAUCAACUAUCAAAGUAAUUAACUCAUUGGGGACCUCAACCGUCGUUCACGGCGAAACUGGCCCGUGAGGAUCCAUGAAAAUCUUGUCAAAAAAGCAAAGUGAUAGUGAAAAGAUAUAAAGCAAUACGGCAAAGAAAAAGAAUAUGGAUUCUAGUGUGGAAAAGAAGACCCACCAUUGCUUUAGCAUGUGCAUUUGGUAGUACAAGUCUUUGUAUGCUUGGGUCAAUCAUUGGUUUGAUUCCUUCUUGGAGCAAAGCUGGUUCAUCAUGGACUGUUGUUAGUCCAAGUCUUCGUAGAUUGACUUUGCCCUUCUAAUGCCGUGAUGUUUCAGUUCUCUCGCACCUCCCCUAUGCUGUUCCGCCUUAUUUUUUCUCUGUUUUAGAGUGGUAACUAAUGUUAAUGCCAUGGUAAAAUGAGGCACAGGGAGCUUAGAUUUUAGAUUGUUGGCAUCUAUAUCAAUAUCACAUCAAACAAUCUCAUGCAAUUCAUAAUCUAAUGAUUGUAUUUCAGUGCAACGCAAAAACCAAAUAUAUGCAGCACUUUCGUACUUUCCAUUAAGUUAAAUUAGAUGGUAUCAACUUUUUUUUAUCGAUUGAUGACAUAAUUGGCAAGACUAUUUAAAAAUCAAAGUAUUUCUAAAUAGAUAGUGUUUGUUUGCAAGUUUAUUUUAUUUUAUUUUAUUUUAUUUUUCUAAAUCAAUUUUGUGGUAAUUAACAUUCCAUGUUUCACAAUAGAAAACAAAAUCUCGCUAGAUCAGAGGUAUAAAGAUGUUCCAUUCUGAAAUUCAUAAGUUCUUAAAUCUUUUCAGGCAUAAAUCCAAGUGUGAAAAAAACCAACAUUUAAGAUUGAAGUUAUUAAUCGCGAUGACUUGAUGAGUCAAAAAACACUUUUGGAAAGUAUCGAAUUCCCAUUUGAGUAGCAUCUAUUUUCACAAAUCUAUUUAUUCACUUGCUAAAUAUUAAAUCAUGAUUUGAUCAUAUCACUUAAUGAAUCAAUUUUAGUAUACUUAUUUAAAUUACUUGUAAAUAACCUAGAUUUAUUUGUUAAACUUCAAAUGAUGAAGAGCUCAUGCUUAUUGAGCUUCCUCCUUUAGCUCAAAAGCUCAGGGAGAAGAGAAAAUAUGUGGGAUUCCAUUGCCUAAUUCUUACUCUUUUUAAAGGAAGAGAAAGACUUCUCAUACAAAUGUGGGCCAUAAUUAUUGAGACAUUUUUUCCUUUACCCUAGAAUACGUAGGGAGUCAUGGGCCAGUUUUGCUGCAAAAUUGGUUGGCAAGCAUGCUUCCUUGCAGCAUCAUUGCGGCCUGUCAACCGUGACAAAUAUUACGUUUCUGAACACGGAAAAUCACUCGACUAUGUGGUGCAGAAAUUUUGGGAUGAAAAUCUACUUUUGCCCCCAAAUAAUUCAUUCAAAGUCAAGUAAACAAAAGCAGACACGGAACUUCCAAAACAAGUUCGUUUCCCCCAUUCUAAUUAAGGUGAACUCCAGUCGGUCCAGUUUAAUGGGCUGAUCAGGCCCAGGCCCGGAAUAACUCUGAAGCAUAAAGCCUAGUGGAAUUAUCACGCUUGAUCUUCAUCAAAGCACUCCCUAGUGGUCAAUUGAAUUAAGAAAAUAUUACAUUUUAUUUCGGAGGUGAACCAUCCUUUGCAUUUAACCUGUCGUUAGUGUCAAAAAUUGCUUAUCACAAAACGUUUUAGUUGGACAUUAAAUCCAUGCAUUGUGCUGAUUAUUAUAUAAAACAUUACUAAAAUAGAGUACACAAAACCAAUGUGUAAGCACAGUCUUGUGGCGUAUUAAAACUUUGAGCCACCAACAAGCGUGGUAAAUAAGCUCAUGAACAUGAUGUGACCUAUUAGAUCUCAUUUGGAAUUUAACUCAAUUAGCAUUUCCACAUUCACAAUUGAACUCGAAAGCCUCUAUGAUGAUUGGGAAAAGUUUAGUGAAGCCUUUCUAAUGACUAUAAUGAUUAUAAAAAAAAAAAUAUUGACUCCCCCUGAAUUCAAGUAUGAAAGUUUUCUAUUUCAAAUAAUGUUUCGGAGGUGUGGCUCUUUGAUCUCUCAGUUAAUGCUUGUGGAUUAUCUAUUACAAAGGGGGAAAAAAGAGGCAAAAAUAAAAGAACUUAUGGACAACACGAGACUAUUCCAUGUUAAAAUUUGAGAAUUGGAAAAAAUUUGCCACGCUUCUAUUAAUUUGAAAUUAAAUGAUUUGGGUUGCUAUUUCAGAUUUACCUUGACAUUAGAUGAUGUCAAACCAAGUCCAUUUGCAGCUAGAAACAUUUUUUUAGUAUAAUUAAGAAUUGAAAUGGCUCCUCUUCAACUUCUGUGAAUCCAACUUAAGAGCCAUGCUUUACUGGAAAAACAAAUUGGACAUGCAUUUACCGAUGUAGAGUAUUAAUUUUCUUCACGCCACAAUUUUGUGUUGGUUAUUGUCAUAGAGGUGAUGCCAUAAGUGCUAAGAUACUUUCACACACAUUGUAACAGCUACUUUGAUGUAUAUAGUAUUAUGAAGUUAUCGUUCUCUUGCGUGAAGAAAGGAAAAAUGAUGCUUAGCUCUUUGUUGGUUGAUCUCCAACUUGAAAAGUUUGCUUUUUACAUGGAAAUGAACAAAUAUUGGACAGGGAAGAAAAAAGGGGAAAAACUCAAGUCUAAGUGCAUAUGGCACCAAAAGGAAAUCUGAUUUUGAUAAGACUAGAUAUGAAUCGUAGUUCAGAUUCAAGUUGAUUCAGUGAGGGCGACUGCAAAAGUCACCGAAUGGAUCAGUCUUUUCCUUUAGUUUUUGUCCUAUUUAAUAAAAUAAAAAAGUGUGGGAGGAUGUUGCAGAUGUCCAUGAUGGACACGACUUCUUGUAACACUAGAAAACCACUAGAAGACACUCAGGACCAAAGCAUGUUGUGAAAGAAGCACAUUGGGGCAUUGACCAAUUUCAAAUAUAGUAAGACAAAGCAAUAAAUUAUAAGAUAUCUAAAAAUCACCACAUAAUAUAUUGACAAAAUAAGGCACUUGGAAUUUAUAUAAUUUGACCCAACCUCACUAGGUAAGUUAAUUAGCAAAUCAAGCCAUUGAAACAUAUAAACCAAACCAAACCAAAACAAAGAAGAUCUGAACAAGGUUAUUUGCAGAAAUAUAUCACUAGUCAACAUGCAAAGUGCACAAAAAAGGAAGAUUUACAUAAACCUCUUUGUAAGUCAUAUGUUUAACAGGAUAAGAAGCACUUCUUAUCAGACAAAAAAAGUACUCAACAGGGCAGAUGUCCAUUUUUUUUUUCUUCCGCAGAAAUUUGCCAAGUUUGAUCAAGCAACUCCUUAAUGUGCUGAGUUUCCAAAUCUCCCGUGGUGAAGAAUGCCUAUUUGUUUCAAUUUCCUCCACAUUGAUACAUCAGAAACAUCAGGAUAGAGUUGCCAGAGAAGAUACGCAAAUUGUCUAGUGAUUCUGGUCAACCAGAUUACCACAAUGAUCUAAAUGAAAAUCCAUUAGUUUCUUCAAGCCACUCAGUCGGCCAAUCUGUCCAGUCGGUUGAGUUCGUUCAGCUCCAAAUUCCAGAUUUAGUCUGGUGGCAUCUUUAUCCACUUGUAGUUUCUCAAAGACUAGCGUUCAAGGCUUAUGAUGGUAACCAAUCGAGUGAGGAAGCUCCAAGAUCCCAGUUCCUUACAGAGAAAGCCUCAACAGGGAAGUCGGGUAACUGAUUGAAGGUUUUGUAGUCAGUGAGGAACGAUGGCAAGCACAGAGAAUUUCUAGACUCUUCAAUCCUUGACAUUCAAGCAUAUGAUUCAUUGAUGUCCCAUCAAUCAAGGGUUCUCUCAAACAUUCCAUUUUACUAGGCUCCUAGGGAGAUGGUGGAGAUCAAUCUUUCUAAAUUCACAUGUAUCUGAAAUCUAGCAUCUAACAUAACCAUUUUGACAUCGAAAGGUCCACCUGAUCUGACUGAAUUGAGGUCAUAUAGCAAUCUCUUCCAAGGCAGUAAGCCCAUGUCAGACUUUCCCCUUCCAUCUUGGUAGUUUGUAGAUGUACGUUCCCGAUAAGUUAGAGACUGUUGAUGUCUGUCCAUCUUGGUAGUUCUUACAAUAUUUUCUGUUCGUGUGAAGUCCUCCGAGAUGCACUAACCGAGACAUACUCCUUUGAUCAUUUUAUUCAAAUCAAUUCACUGUUCCCGCUGCUCCAUGGUUUAUAGCAGCAUCGUCAUAUGGACCACCCAUCUCCAGUGAUCUUACUUGUGCUUAGACUCCUCUGGAAGAAAUAUUUGAACAGAACAGCAGAAGCAACGAUGGUAGCAACUGUCACCACACACAGGACAACCUCAAGUGCAUCAAUCGUUUCACGCCAGCACAAGUGGUCCACCUUGGCAGAAACAACAAUUGUUGAGCUGCUGCCCCACGUGUCGGAUUCUGAAUGGUCUUUACCCUAAGCCUACGUGGAGGGUAAGACUCACCCAAUAUUUCCUCUGGAUCGGAAUCCGAAGUGACGAUCUGGAAUUAAAAUGGGAGGAGGAGAGUCGGAGAGGGAUGGUGGGAUAUUCGAAGUCGUAUCGGAGUCAGUGUCGGAAACUGGAGGAAGCAGAGGAGGGUUCUUUACGUCUUUUCGUAUUUUUGUUUUAAUUUCUUUUCACGCUUUUUCCUUUUUAUCUUUCGGAAUUUGGUUUUUUCCUUUCGGUUGCUCUUUUCCUUUUUCGCUACAUGCGAGUGGCCCGAACAUUUUCCGCCAGUAAGAGGGGAAAGGGGGAGGGGUCAAAAUUGUAUUUUCGUUUCCCCUGCUGCAGAGUUGAAGGCAACAGCGUCAGUUCCCGCGCGAGAUGGGACUUGCGGCUCGAGGAUUAGAGGCGGUCCGACCUGCCCUUGCUGCCUGACGCAACCAAUUCUUAACGUUGCAGUCUCAUGUACACUGUGGAAGAUUAAGUUCGAACCAAAACUAAGUUUACGUACGUAUACAGGCCUAUUAUUGCUGUCUUGCCAGCGUGCUAGAAGCCAGGAAAUAUCUCCAUAUGAGGUAGCGAUAUAUACAACCUCGGCCAGGAUUCGCUCACAAUGUGAUUCAAAUUAUUCAAUUCAUGGAAAAUAGUGUGACCUACCUAAUGUUAACGGUGCCAUGACAACAUUUAUGUUUCUUUAUUUCUUUUUUUUUGUUCCCCGGAACAUGUUUAGAACAGAAAUCUAUUUGGUAACGCAAUUUCAUUUUUCUAUUUCUAGAAUAUAUUUAUAUUUCAGAAAUAAAUUUGGAGCGGAAAUCAGAAGUUAAAAUUUUUAGCUUUUCUAUUUCUGAAACAUAAAUGAGAAAUCAAAAUUUUUCGGGAGAAUUACCAAAAAAGUCCUAAACCUAUUGCAAUUGUGUCAAUUCAGUCCUAAACCUUUUACUUUUGUUCCAGUUCAGUCCUUCCGGCCAAAAUUAGCCGGCCGGCGCUGACGUGGCAGCCGGCCGGUGCCGGCGAGCUUUUUUUAAUAAUUUUUUAUUUUGCAAAAACAAUAUUAAUUUUUUUCUUUUUUUCCCUUUUUUUUCCUCCUCCCGCCGGAUCGCCUCAGUCCGGCGACCGGCCAGGCUGGCCGGUCGUCGGAGCCCAAGGAAGGAGGAGGGAGGAGGAAAAAAAAAGGAAAAAAAGAAAAAAAUUAAUAAAAAAUUUUAAAAAAUCAAAUAUUAUUAAAAAAAACUCGCCGGCACCGGCCGGCUGCCACGUCAGCGCCGGCCAACUAAUUUUGGCCGGAAUGACUGAACUGGAACAAAAGUAAAAAGUUUAGAACUGAAUUGGCCAAAAAAAAAAGUUUAGGACUGAAUUGGCACAAUUGCAAUAGGUUUAGGACUUUUUUGGUAAUUCUCCCAAAUUUUUCUCAUCAUUCACUCUCAUCACCACCUGUCGCCCACUUGCCGCUCGUGGGAUGCUAGACGCCCACCGCCGGUUGCCGACCGCCCGCCAUCAGCCCUGACCACUAGCCACCGACCGCCAGCCACCAAACUCUAGCCACCUGUCGCCAACUGCCGGUCGCUGGAUGCCGAACGUCCACCGGUUGUUGGCUGCUCAUUGCCAAUCAUUGGAUGUUGGAGGCUCACCACCAACCACCGGAUGUCCGCUACCAACUGUCUGCCGCUCGACACCGGCCGUUGAAUGUUGGCCGCUUGCCACCCAUCGCCGACCUCUUGUCGUCGGACUCCGGACAUCGGACAUUGGAUGUCGAACUUUGGACGUUGGACGCUAGUUGCUGGUCGUCGGACUCUAGACUUCAGCCACUCGCCACCGAUCGUCGAACUCUAGCGCUGGACGCCGGACUCCAGACUCCGACUACCCACCGUCAGUCACCGGACGCCAAAUGCCGAUCGUUGGACGUCAGACUCCGACCACUGGAUGCCGAUCGUUAUUGCUUUGAGAAAUAAAAAUUUUAUUCUAUUAUCAAACGAAUUUUUAUUUCAGAAAUAGAAAUUUUAAAUUGUUAUCAGACGCGUUUUUUUGCUCAAAAACCCGUCCAUAGAAUAAAAAUUGAGAAAUCAAUUUAUGGCCAUAAAUUGAUUUCUAUUCCAGAAAUUUUGUUAUACGCACCCUAAGUCACCGCAUUUGGGGGUGGGCUACAAUUUUUUCACUUUCAUUGUUCUUUCUUUUUCAAAUUGUUUCACGUGAAUGAGUCGUGUAUGAAUUUGAUAAAAGCGCGAGAGGUGUAUAAAUUUAUUUCGUGCUUAUUAACACCUAAGUUUGACGAGUGACCGAUCUAUCAACACUGGCCAUAAAUGAAGAGAUUAGGGGAUUGUUCUCUGCAAAAAGUUAUUGUCACACCCUUCACGCUCUUGAAUCGCACCUUGUUCUUCACUUCCGUUGUUGUUUUGUGUACUAACUUCUCUGUAUUUUGGAAUAAGACGAAUUUUUAGAUUAAGCUUGAAUCUGAAAAUAUUUGACUAGAGAAGUUUGCCAUCAUAAUGAAGUAUUUGCAAUUUCAUAUACCUCCACUAAUAUAAAUAGACAAAUGAAUUAUAUCAAUUUUAAUUUGAGCGUAUAGUAACCAACUAAUUGAACUGUAGAGCACCCAUUUGCCCAACAGAAUGUCUCCUUCUCUUUGGCUAAAAUACAACAUAAGGCAUCCCCACGCAAUCUUUCUAAAUGUUCCGAUUUUAGCAAAACUUACUUCAGUGCUCUGAUGCACACGACGUAAAUCACCAAAUGUGACAUUGAAAAAGCCUGCCAACAAAAUAAGAUCUGAAGGGCAAAUCAGGAAAGAUCGUAAAGAAUCUAGAAUGGAACAUAUCGCAUUUGAGGGUGAUGGUUGUUCUGACAUGCUUGAUUGCUGUUUUGACAUGCUUCAUUGCUGCAAAGUGAGGCGAUACUCAAGCUUUUCAAGUUCAAGAGAUUGGAAAUGCUAUCAUCAGCUCGUCGCUCGGUAUGAAUAUGUAGACAGAGAAGAAUUUCUAGGAGUCUCGGCACUUGGUGUAUCUCAACACAUGUCGGUUUCAAAAUCUUCCAAGAUGAACAUCUCCAGAUAUCAUAGGAAUUUCUGAUUAGAAAAUUUUCACUAAGCUCUGCAUCUAUUCUUCUAGCUAUUCCUGCUUCCAUACUGCACUAGUUAUUGUUCUCAUGAUAGAGAACCUCAUCUUCAAUACUUUCAAAUACUUCAUGUUCCCGACCAACCAGGCAGCUUCUCUAUGUCCAUGUUCAAUUUAUCGAACUUAGCAAGUGAUUCCAAAUUCCAGAUUGAGUCUAGUAGUGUCUUUAUUGACUUGCAAUUCCUGGAAGACUAGUGUUCAAGGCUUACAAGGGAUCCACUUGAGUUGGGAAGCUCCACGAUCCCAGCUCCUCACAGAGAAAGCCUCGAUAGGGAAGUUAGGUGACAGAUUGAAAGUUUUAUAGUCAAUGAGGAACAAUGGGAAGCACAGAGGACCUGCAAGCUCUUCAAUUCUUGACAUUCAGGCAUAUGCUUUAUUGAUGUUAUACAGCAAUCCCUUUUUAAGGGAGUUAAUUCCAUGUCAGACUUUCCCCUUCCAUCUUGGUAAUUCGUAGAUGUAUAUUCCCUUUUAAGAUAGAGAUUAUCGAUGUUUGUCCAUUAAAACCAACAUGUGAAAUUGCGAAUCGAACAAAGUCAACGUCUAGCAAGCUAGUCGCAUAUCUUUCUCCCAAAUAUCAUGUACUUUUAUUCAUGUGAAGUCCACCAUCAGGUACUAACUGAGUUAUCCAAAGUUAGAUUCAUCUACUAGUAAGAAUACUUUGAGGGACCUUGUUUAGCUUUAUUAUACUUGUUUCAUCGUUUGAUUCCGUCAUUUCUCGGUUCACGCUGUUCCAUGGUUUAUAGCAGCAUCGUUAUUUGGUUUGCCCUCUCUAGUGAUCUUGCUGCUCUUAAUCUUCCCUGCUCCAUGGUCUAUAGUAGCAACUGUCGCCACACACAAUGCAACCACAAGUGGUGAAUCGUUUUGCACCAGUACAAGCGGUCCACCUCAGCAGAAACAACAAUUGUUGAGCUGCACGAGGAUUGGGGGUCGUCUGACUUGGCCUCCCCGCCCGAGUCGCAAUGGGUCAGGAUUUUUUCUUUUUUUUCCUUUGAUAAAUUAUAAAGUGUGGGAAGAGAGGACCAAUACAGUUAUCCAUUCUUGUUGUUACAUAAAGCGUUAUGUACAUUACAAAAUAUCUCCAUUAAGCCAUAACCACUCGAUUCAUCGACAAGUGUGCGAAUCUAUCACCAUAACUAAUAUGCCAAAAGCCUAAAAAUCUUUCUACAUAAUGUUGUGAAUAUCUAAAAUAUUGAGUGGUGAAAAGUCCACUCAUAACAUGAUUCGAACUCAUGAAUUAAUAGAAGAUGGCGUGAUCCCUUCAUCAUUGGGCUACUUUUUUUUUUUUCACUUUCAAAGUGAGCCUGAUCCAAAAAUGAGUGAUCUAUAAAUCUAUUUUGUGCUUAUAAAAUUUGAUUUAAGUCGAAUGAGGUGUUGAUGUGUUAAGGUUACCAAUAAAAGAAGAGGUUUGAUGACUGGUUUCUAUAAAAUUGAUUGAUUUAAUCUUCAUAGUUUUAUUGAGUUUCACUUAUUAUUUAGGGUUAAUACCUUGAAAAACCCCAAACUGGUACACUUGUGACAAAUUUAUCCCAAACUAUUUUUUUGACCGCAAAAAACUUCAAACUGGUAUAUCUUUGACAAAUUUACCCAAACUGGUACACUUGUGACAAAUUUACUCUCUGUUAGUUUUUGUUAAAUUUUAUUUUCAAAUUAUUAAGUUAAAUGAUACGUGACAAUUGACCGGUAUACUAAUUUAGGAUUUUACGCUCCGUUUGUUACCGUUUACAAUUUCUGUGAUUUUUUUUGUAGUAUUUAUCCAAUUUAGCAUAGGGUAUAUUUGUCACAAAUUUACCAUUUUGGGGGUUUUUUGCAGUCGAAUAAAUUAGUUUUGGGUAAAUUUAUCAUAAAUGUACCAGUUUAGGGUUUUUUAUAGUCAGUCGGGGUAAAUUUGUCACAAGUAUACUAGUUUGGGGUUUUUCAUGGUCAAAAAAAUAGUUUUGGGUAAAUUUGUUACAAGUGUAUCAGUUUGGGGUUUUUUAGGGUAUUAACCUUAUUAUUUAACUUCCAUCAUUUUGUUUUGUGCACUAACUUUUCUGUGCUUUUUAUAAACAUUUGACUGUGAAUAUAAAUCCGUGAGAGCCACCAAACAUCACGCAUGCCAUGCAUCAGGGUUCUUAUAUUAUUUUGUUUGCGUGAGCUAAUUGCGAUUUAAGGGGAAAAAAAAAUGUUCCACGCUCUUUGAUAAUUUGAAAAUGACAUUUUGUGACUUUUGUUGUAUAAGGUUAUAGACUAUUUUUACUUCGAACACAGGUGAUGAAAAAGUCCAAUGACUUUUGUUCUCAAAGAUUAUGGACCUUUUUACUUGUUUAAAUCUUUUACAUGUAAAGUAUCAACUCAUACAUCCAAUAAGCAAUUAUGAAAUGACGAUGGCAUCAUUCUAUAAGAUAGUGAUCAGUCUGAUCAUAUUCACACUAAAUAUUUUGUAAAUUCUAAAUAAAACAUAUACGUUCAUCUACAAAUAAAAACUAUCAAAUCCACUUCCAUAUAAAUUUUAAAGAAUAGAAUCGAUCUGUCAUGAUAAGUCACGUUCUGGAAUUCUCUCUCAACCCGAGAAAUAUGGGCUCCACAAAUAAGCAUAAUUCACUUGUCUCGCAUGUUGAAUAAUAUUCUUUUCAAGUUUGAAUAUUAUUGGCAAAGAAAAAGUUUGAAUAAUUCGAGUUAUUGGAUUGAUUCGAGCUUGGAAUCGGAAAAAUUUUACUCAAGCAGCUUGUGAUCAAAGGAAGCGCCAAAAGAGGAAGAGACAGAGAACGGAAAUUUGUCCAGGAGCACGCCUUAUUUUAGCCAAACUUCCUUCAUUGCCCUCACGGAAACGACGAAAUCACCGGACGUGACACCGAAAAUGCCCACCGACAGAGCAAGAGCCCGAGGUCGAAUCAGGAAAAUUCGCAAAUCCGUCGUCCUCUCCUUCCUUUCCCCCCCACCCAAAAACAAAAGCUCGCCGUAGCUUUCGAUCGCCAUCCGCCGCGAACAUCGGUACGGAGUCCACGAACGCUGCGACGACCAGGAUUCGAGGUUUGAAUUCGAGCAAUGCGCACGAAGAACGCAAUCGAUCUCUCCACCUCGCCGGGCGAUCGCGCCAUUUUGAUUGCCUGAGAUUGGAAUGAUGUUGUUGCGCGGAAGAAUGUGGAGUUGAGGGUGAUGGUUGUUCUGAAGUGCUUCAUUGCCGCGAGUGAAGGCGAGAGGUAAUUGCAAUUCGUGUUCAUGUAAUCAGUUACGGCUCUGAUCCUCCCACUUGAUUGGGAUUGGGAGUCUAGUAUCGAGCAUGUCGGUUUUGAGGUUGGACAGUGAGGUUUGUAGUGUGAAUUUGGCGGAUUAGGCACUUCAGGGUUGGGGGGGAUCGUCGACCGUGUUGUGGAGCUGUAGUGCCUGAUUUAAUGGGGCAUACUAUUACUGAAUUAUUUGGUUGGAUUAGCUAAGCUCUUGGAUUGCCGAGUUUGGAUCAAUACUACAACUGGAAUAUGGUCUGAUUGAAUUUCCAUAUAUUUGUUCGAUUCAAAUAUUUCAUCCCGCUGUUUCUACUUUGGGGAUAAAAUUUGUUGAGUGUCUCACAGUAGUGAUUGACUAUGGCUAUUCGGCCUUUCUCCAGUCGAGUAAUGGACUGUAGCUUGUAGGUUUUAGCAACUAGCUUUAUGGGAAAGAGGAGCCUUAUGCUUUUCACUUAUUCGCCUUUCGUUGCAUUUGAACAUAUAGUUCUUUAAGUUCACGAACAAGGAUGGCAGAAAUAUACUGAAAUAUUAUUUUGAGUUGAUGUUUCCUUGUGAAGUGUUCCUCUUACUUGAUUGUCGAAAUAGCUUGCUAGAGACAUAAGAAACUUGCUCCUUUGCUUGUCAUUAAAUGAGUUUUUGACCACAUUUUCAAUGUGAAAUUUUCUCAACUGGUAAAUGCAGAACUCAGAGUGAGGUCCAAGGCUUGUAAAGCUGUUUACAAUCGCACUCUUGCCAUGAUAUCGGCGGAGUAUGCAUCUGCUGUAAGUGUUCUUUAUAAGGAUUUUUACAUUUACCUAGAGCUUGUUGUUGUUAUUACUCUUCAGGUUUCACCAUUUAAAUACAAUAAUAUUGUAACUAGAUGCACAGCUUUUUAUUUUGCAUGUUUAAUGUCAGAUUUGACAGAACUUAGUAGUCGGACUUGUCCUAGAUGUGAUGGAAAGACCAAGGUAAUUUAAGAUGGUUUAAUAUGACAUUGUUGCUAAGAUUGCCUGAACAAUGGAUCCUCAGUACAGUAUUAAAUAGUCAAUUUUGUGGGCAUAUGCCGCCUCCUCUUAUUAGCUUCUAAACUGGUAGUUAAUGCCUUUUGAUAUGAAAGCUGGGGUUCAAAUUCAUUGGAUAUGAUAGUGGGCAUUCAGCACUGCUUACACGCAAAUCAUUUGGUUGCAGUGGCUUAAAAAUCUGCAAUGCUUGCGAUGCCUAUAUGUUUAAAUUGCAUCUAAUUGUUUAUAUCUAUUUCUAAACAUACAUAUAUGUUACCUGUAGGCAUACGUUGGGGUGGCCAAGGAUCUUAAUGCUGUGAUUAUAGCUUUUAGAGGUGCACAAGAACAUAGGUAUGCAUGUUAACUUUAGCAACUCUUCCCCUUACAAAUGACUUGCAAAGGUUUUGAUGAAAAUUUAGGCUAAGAAGAGCAGCCUCCUGUGAGUGCGUACACAAGACCCAUGGGUCGACUGUCCAUAAGAAGGGAAAAGGGUGAAUCAUUUCCACCAAGAUGCAAAAGUUACCUUCUUGUAAUUUUAGAUUGGUUCAUGAGAAGAUCACAUACUUCACUAAUUUUGUUCUGUGAAAAAUUCUAUCACCUUUCUUUGUCAUUUGAGCUUUUCAGGUAGUGAUUACUUCUAUUUAUGUCUACAGCAUACAGAAUUGGGUUGAAGAUCUCUACUGGAUAGUGGAAACAGCUUGACGUACUACCCUGGCAUGCAUGGUGCCCUGGAUAGCUCUAAAGAUGAUUAUGCCUCUUGCAAGCUGUGGAUUCUUCUCAUUUGGAUUGAGUUACAGUCUUACUCUAUUGAUUUCUGCUUGGGUUAAUCAUGGAUUUUACUAUUCUUAUCUUGAUAUGACAAUUCAACCUGGUAUUUUGGAUGCUGUUAUAAGAACCAAGGAUUUAUAAGAGGACAUCAAUGUCACGGUGACAGAGCAUUUUAUGGGAGGGGCUAUGGCAUCUUUUUGCGGAAUUGAUCUUGUGGUAAGAUAGUUAAAAACUGCUAUGGUCUGGAAUUGUGAAUUUUAUCGUUUUUUUCCUAUUGCGUUCUUCCAAUAUUCAGAUGAUAAUCUGUUAAGAGUCAUCUAGAAUUCUCUGUCAAAUCUGUGUUGAAGAGUCUAGACUCUUUAUGUGGAUCUUGAACUUUCUAUUGCUCUCAUAUUUAUAUUCACAAUUCAUCAUAGACAGCAUCUUGUUUUCUUUCAGUUUUGGUAAGUCAAACCAUAGACAAAACACAAGCAGAAUGGGGUGCAAAUAGCCAUUUACGCUAACCACCAAUUGUUUAAGUAUCUAGCAAUGUAAAUUAAGUCUUACCCAUAAAGCUAUGGAGCUUCAAGUUGGUUGAAUACCUAAAUAUAGUGGAUAAGGUUACUUCCAACUAAUCAUUACAAGGUUUACUUGCUGGAAAAUUUAUGGAGUUGUCGAUAUGUUUAUGGUCUGGACAUAUAACUUUUUAAAGCACUUGAAGCUCAAGUUUUAUGUCAUGUAAUCUUGAAGUGCUAAUGCAUUUUAAGAUAGAUUAUAUAUCAAUCCUAAAUGUGUGUUUGGUGUACUGUUUCUAUCUAAGUCUCUCUCUAAUCAAAAGAAGCAGCUCCUCUUUAGUAGGACUACAAGGCCAGAUAUGUUGUAGGCUGGAGCCAAUGUUAAGAUGUCUAAAUUAUGCCUUUUCCCUCAGCUUUAUUGGACGGAGUGUUCCAGGGUACAUUUGGAGGCACCUGUUGCUCAACUGGUACCAGAAAUGGUGCCCAAUCCAAAAUCAUGUCCCAUUGAUUCUCUUCUCCAUGACAAGUGGUGAUUUUUUAGAGUUAAACUUUAUCUUGAAGUCUGAUUACACUCAUGUUCACUUGGCCUAUGAUAGGAUCAUAGGUUGCAUGGACUUUAGACUAUACCCUUUCUCAAAAUAUUAGUAGCAAGUAUAACAUCUUGUCCUAAAACUUUUAAAUGAUUUAAAAUUUUAUUUUUGUUUACUGGUUUCUUGCUGAAAAUUUUGUCGAGCCAAUUGUGACGUCCUGCCCAUUCGUUGCGAUCCUUUUUAAGAUUGAGUUUCUCCUUCGCUACUUGUGACAGUAAGUUUUGUAGUUCAAGAGGCAUUUUCACCAUGAACCAGGAAUUUUUUGUUUAUGUUAUUAGCAGGAUGUGACUCACCCCACCAACAUUCAAGUGCUUCUUGUGGAAGCAAUUAAAUGCGCUUCUGUUGUAAAUUCAUGUCCAAUCCCACUAUUCCAUAUUAUUAAACACCUUUUUGUGGUGCUGAGGGUGGGUUUGGUUUUGUUGUGUGUGGGGUUUGGUGUUGGGAAACUUAUGGAUGGGAUCUUGAUGGAGUUAACACUAGACCUUCGACCCUUAUGGAGACAAAGGGCUGUCUAUUGUUCACCUUUGUAUAUGAAAUGCAAUUUAUGGUUAUUGAUGCAUAGUGCUUUUUUCCCAUCUUGGAAGGGCUAUUGAUGUAUUGACAUUCAAGUUAUUUGGCUGUCUAAUUAUGUGUGCUGAAACUGUCUUUUCCAGAUCAGCAUUCGCCUGAUUUACUUUACCGAAACACUUUAUUUCCUGGUUAAUCAUGAAGCACAGGAUAUUCAGGUUUUAACAUUUGGACAACUCUGUAUUGCCAAUGCAGUGUUUGCAUCUUACUACAGUGACUGCAUACCAAAAACAUUACGUACUCCUCCUGGACAAGAUUUUUUGUCUUAUUUGCCUCCGUACUAUUUUUGGUUCCCACAGAAGACGUACCAUCAAUUCCCUAGAGAGGUAUGGUGUUGAUCUUGACAGAAUAUCAAAUAAAUUAUGGGAAAUUGUUAGGCUGCGCAUGAUAAAAUUUUUGUUUCUUAAUUUCUCUAUUUCUCUGUUCCCGAAACAGGUUUAGAACAGAAAUCUGUUUGGUAACGCAAUUUGAUUUCUUUAUUUCUUAAACAGAUUUUUAUUCCAGAAAUAGAUUUGAAGAAGAAAUCAGAAACUAAAAUUUUAGCUUCUCAGUUUCUGAAAUAGAAAUUGAUAAAUUAGGGUGCGUUUGUUUGCGUUUCUGUUUAAAAAUUGUUCCAGGGAACAGAAAUAGAAAAAAAGUGUUUCUGUUCCGGGGAACAAUUUUUGAACAAAAAAACGCGUUUGGUAAAUUUGUUCCGGGAAUUAAAAAAUAAACAGAAACACGUUUGGUAAAUUUGUAUUAUUUGUAUUAUUUCUUUUAUUUUUUUAAUAUUUUUAAUAUUUUUAUUCUUUUUUUUUUCUUUUUUUCUUUUUUCUUCUUUUGGCCGGUCGCUGACCUCGGCCAUGGCCGGCGACUGGCCGACAAGGGCCGGCGGCCUCGCCGGAUCUGGGCGAGAUCGAGCUCGCCCAGCUCAGCGCGAGGUCGGCCUCGCCUUGGCUAGGCGAGCUCGAGCUCGCCCAGAUUCAGCGAGGUCGCCUGGCGGUGGCCCGGCGAGGCCGAGCCUCACCGGCCGCUGGGCGAGGUCGGCGCGAGGUCGGCCUCGCAGGGGGCCGGCGAGCCUCGACGUGGCUGGGCGAGGCCGACCCUCGCCAGGGGCCGGCGAGCCUCGCCGUGGCUGGGCGAGGCCGCCGUGCCCUCGUUGGCCGGUCGCCGGCCAUGGCCGAGGCCGGCGACCGGCGAAAGAAAAAAGAAAGAAAAUAAGAAGAAAAAGAAGAAGAAAUACAAAAGUGUUUCUAAGAUUUGUUUCAGAAAUAAGAAAUACAAAAUUUGUGUUUCUUAUUUAUGUUUCUUUUUUGUUCCUAGGAACAAAAGAACAAAAAAACAGAAAAAGUGUUUAAAAACAAAAAAAAGAAACAUAAACAAACAGACCUUAAUUUCUGGCCAGAAAUCAAUUUCUAUUUCAGAAAUUUUGUCAUGCGCACCCUUAAUGACUGAAUUUGAGGUUUGCUUCGCAUUUCUUUCAACUUGUCUAACAAGUGAAGUAUCAUAUAUUCCGGCAUUGUAUGUACUCUCUUUUUUCAGCUUAUAAAUUAUGACUGUCUUGUUUGUUUUUCUUCUUAACAAAGCAGGGUAGUUUGUAGGACUCAUUACGUUAUAAAUUUUUUUUUAGUAACUCUCGUUCUUGCAAAAGCCAUCAUGAGUUUUUCAUUUCGAUUCCAAAGUUUAAGACACAUAAUAAUGUUUAUUAUACUCUCUCUCUCUCUCUCUCUCUCUCUCUCUUACACACACACACACACACUAUGUAUGUCUACUAAUGCGUAUAAUUAUUAGUGACUAGCUCAAAGACAGCCACGGUUGAACAUAUUAAUGUGACAUGAAAAUGAUUUGAUUCCACCUGCUUCUCUAAUAACGAAUCAUACUCGUAACAGUUUUCAUGUAAUCGGAAUCUUCCCUUUAUUGUAGGUAUGGCUAUAUAACAUAGGAUUCGGUAGUUAUCAGGUUGAGAAAGUUUGUGAUACCUCAGGAGAAGAUGCAUCAUGCAGCAAGUGAUGAGCUAGUUUCAGUCGAAGCUACUUGUUCAAACAAUUAUUUUGUGGAUUUAUCAUGCAAGAUGCAAUAAGUCGUGAUGGACCAGCUUGUUCUAGAGAAUGUCUGUUCUUUGUUACUAGGAAUAUUUGUGGACAACUGAUCAGGGUAUUUUCCUGCAGAUUGGUAACCGGUAACAGCAUUGUGGACCAUUUAGUCUUUCUAUAGUGUGCAAUUAGUGGCUAAGACAUGAGAAUCGUGCAAAAUCGUCAUGGACACUAUUGACGGAAUGUGGAAGCGAAGAUGUCAAAGGUAGAUGUGUGAAUGUUGCAACUCUGACACUUGCAUGGUUAGGCAAUUAACCGGUUUUUAUAAGGUGAAACAAAGACUACGUUCACAGACCACUUCUCAAUCUAUGACACGUUACCUUCUCCUACAGGCACAUUGGCACAUAAGAUUUCUUGGCAGAACUAAGUACUUCAACUAUUUCCUCGUAGGGAAUUGUGCAGAUGAACUGUUAAAUCAAACCAUCUCGGAGACAGAUGAUGACUUUUGUCUUACAUCAUUUCCACUGGCAACCUUCGCAAAAUUUUUACUUUUAGGAGGUAAACAAUUUAUAUCAUCUUGGCUUUGAUAUGUAACAAUGAUCAUAUCAGCAUUUGGAACAAGAAUUGUAAGCUUUUACCUUCUUUUUCUAAUAUGCAGGAAUUAACAUUAGUGGAAACCUGAAAAGUAAAAAACUUGGGGGGAAACUUCUGCCACUGAUAAGAAGGGAAACAGAACUUUUGUCUUGCUGACAGGUACCUGUUCAAAACGUCAAAAGUGAGCAUUACCAAAGUGCUAAGUAAGCUCAUGGUGCUACACAAGUCAGGUCUAAAGUACAAUGCCAAAUGUUUACUAAUGUUUCAAAGAUCCAAUCUAGUUCAAAAGCAGAUACUCAACCAGGUCAGCCAAGCAACAUCUUCUUCAACAUGUACAAGCAAUUGUUCAAACUUUUCUUCACUAGAGUGCUUGAAGUUUUGCCCAUAAUACUGCGACAUCCUUCUCCUCAGUAACCUCUAUUAAGACCUCAUCCGUCAAAUUUAAUUCAUUUAAUAGAAUUAUGCUAUUUGCUUUUUUCAUUAGCUCUACCCUUUCAAAGGCUUUCAUGAUAAUAGGCAACUCAUCUUCGCCUUCCAGUACCUUGGCCAAAUCUUAUGUUAUCAAUAAAGCUCGCAUCUUGAUGCUUCAUAACACAAAAUUGUUACUCCCAUUAAAUUUCUCAAUUUCAGUUUUCUUCUCAUGAUUGCAAUAACAGAAUUUUCAGAUAAUAAUCAGACAAACAAAAUCUCCAAAUUAUAAUCAAGAAAUUCAACCCCAAGCUCUGAUACCAAUUGUUGGGAUAUAAUACGUGAAAACGACGGGAUCUUGCAAUUUAAGUCAAUGCGAAAUCGCCAGAGAAGUAAACAAGAAAUAAUAAGGAUACCAGAAAAUUUACGUGGUUCGAUUCAAGUAACGGUACCUACGUCCACGGGGAGAACUAGUAACAAAUAAUCCACUAUAAUCGGAGUAUCAGAGUUUACAAUCACUCAAUGAUUCAAGUGUUUUCCACAUUUAGAUUUAACCCCAAGUUCAAAGUGUUUAUAAAUAAAUAACUCACUUGGACAUAAACUCAUGGCAUAAAAUUACCACGUAACAAAACGCAGCUCUAUGUACGGCUUCGCGAGGCUGCAAAGACUUUGGCUUCAGAUAAACUCGCAGAUCGCGGCUUUCUUCUAAGCUUCGGAAGACGUACGUUCAGCGGCUCCUUCUUCUCGACUUGUACAUGCAGCAGCCAAGGAAAGAAAACCUCAUGUGAUGUCCGUUUAAAAUAUAUAUAUACGUGUGUGCCCAAGGUCAAAAGUUUGACCUUGGGCCCCACCACUUUAACUCCUUCACGUGCGGGGCUUCUUCCUUCGGCGGCAUCUUCCUUCUCUACGUGGGGGUGCAGCAGCUUACGAAAAAACGAAAGAAGACCCAAUUCUUUCUGCUUUUAUAUAUUUAUAUAUUUCCUCUUUUGUAGAUUUUGAAGAGUCCAGCGAAUUUCUUCUACUUGAAAAAUCUUUAUCAAUAAAAUUUGAUAUAAUAAAUCGUCAUCCGAAUUCAUACUCAAGACAUUGAUUUAACAGUAUCCGUGGUUGACAAAAGGAAGAUGUCUUUUUUUGCUGUGGGUUGAGGGUGGAGAGGAGACAGUUGCAGCUUAAGUUAAAAAGGGGAGUUUCUCCCUCGAAUCUAGAAAACGACAAUUCGUUUCUUAUUAUAGGUGGGGUUUUCCUUUCAUUUUUUCCAACCCAACCUUAGUUCAAUGAAAAAACAUACUUUAGAAUUAACAUAUGCAUACGUCCAAGCAAAAUUCAAUAUUGAAAAGACUGAAUUAUUCCUACUCAAAAACUUUAUUUAAGUCUCUCACUUCAUGUUUGAAUAAUAUAAUUUUCAGUUAGUUUUGAGUACUUUUGAUGGUGAGACUUUAGGAAUUGUGGAUGGACUUUUUUUUUUAGAGAAAAUGACAAUUCUUUUAUACAAAGGAACACAAGGUUAAUCGACCUCAUAAAUCAAGAUUCAUUUGGUCGUGAAACAUGAGAUUGUUUGUACUAAUCCGAUUGAAAAUUAAACUUACCUAAUUUUCCAAAUUCACAUAUAAAUCCUUUCAUGAACCAUUAAAUCAAAAUUAACCAAGAGUAGGUAUGUCAAAAAGCGAAAUAUCACCAAAAGAUGAAUUAUAAUAAUAUUAGCAAACAAAUAAUCAAAAUAUUACCAAAUAAUCCCACAAAUGCUUUACUUCCCAAAUGGAAUUUAAAAUUCUCUCAACUUGCCAUAAUUUUCUUUUCUUAGGCUAAAUAAUAAGCAUCUCCAAACAUAUAUCCUCUCCAUGGCUAAAUAAUAAGGAUCUCCGAACAUAUAUCCUCUCUAUAUAUAUUACCCUAUCUUUCUUUCAUCUCGAGAGUGUCGUUUGCAAAAGUUUUUAUGAUUGUUCCGCACCGUAAGUGAUGAUGGACGCCGCCACAGGGGAACAUGACCGUAUUCCCUUCUUCCUCCUCGUCGGAGCCCUGCACGCUGCCGCCGCUGCCGCGAGAGCUCGCAGGCUCCGCCGCAUUCCCAAGCCUCUGGUUCAUGUCAGCUCGGUUGGAUUCGUCCCUCUGAAUGACCACCGAGUCGCUGAAUGCGCUUGGAUUCGUGCGCAAGCAUGUCGAGAUCGCAGCUCCUCCUCCUCUUUUGCUGCUCAGUCCCUCGGUUUUCGCAGGUAGCGUGCUUGUUGUCGUCCGUUAGGCUUUUCUUUUUUCGGUGCUGAGGAAUCUCGGCGUGGAUUGUAUAUGCCAGACUGAUCGGUUCUUGGUCAGUAGGGGGCCUUCUUUAGGUUGAGUUUGAUGUCUAAAUAUGGGGCGGCAGGUGGAGAAUUUGAUGAUUGACGAGGAAGUCUGGAUAACUAAUUCGAGUGAUGUGUACCUGGUGGAGCAGUCGAGUUGAAGCAGAGGGAUGAUUAUGCUGUCAGGAUUGUGCUUGUUGAUUGAGACACCGUAUUUUUUUAAUCAUGUUCGUCGUGUUUGCUUUGUAUAUUUGAUAUUGGAGAUGAUUAUGUAAUAGAAUGAAUUGCGUCGUUGUUUCUUCUAGUCUAGCACUUCAUGUUCUUCAAUGUCGGUUCUGGGUUGAAUUAGUUUGUUGAUACAAAACGGAGCUGCAUUUCUCUUGGCGGUAUAAGGUUUUGAGGGAUAAGUACACUAAUAGUGUCAUAAGUUGUGUACGAUACUCACUUUGGUGCCAAAAGUUUCCGUCGGAUCACUUAAAUGCCAAAUUGAAGAAAAAACAAUCACUUUGGUGCCACCGGCGAGAAAUUCCGGCCAAAAUGAUUACGUGGCUUUUAUAUUUAAAAAAAAAAUCAACAUGGCUUAAGAUUGUCCACGAUGGAUAGCAUAAAACGACACCAUUUUCCUUUUUUCAUAAGAAACGACGUCGUUUCUUGUCAUCCACUGUGGAUUCACAUAAGAAACGACACCGCGUUGCUCCAUAACAAAAAACGAUGUUGCUGAAGAGGAAGUAAAAUAGGGUUCGUAUACAAUUCUCCUCGACGCCGGCCGUAGCUCGCUCACCCACCGUCGUUCACCCACCGUCGUUUGCUCGCCUGCCAUCGCUCGCUCGCCGUCGCUCAGCCACCGCUAUAGUUGCGCCGUUGUUCACGAUCAUUCAGGUUUGUCAUGUUCUCUACGUGGAUCAAUUUUGCGAAAAAUUUAAGGUUCCGAUGGGCAAGUUAGGGCACGGUAGGCAAACUGAGGGCUCGGCUUAGGAGGAAAGUAGUGGGGAAAGUGGUGGGGAUGUCACUUUUAUGGGGACGGAAUAGAAAAAUUAAUUCUUCCAUCGUUCGUUCGCUUUCUGUUGUGGGGACCGAAUAGAAAAAUAAGGUGCAGAGAAGCUUAACUCGGAGGAAAACAGUGGUGGGACCGAAUUUGUUUGUUUAAUUAAUUGGACUGCUUUUGUGGGGGACCGAAUGUGAAUGUGAUUGAAUUGAAAAAUGGGUGGUGGGGACCUCACUUUGUUUAUUUAAUUCAAUUUCUUUUGUUUCUAUAAAUGCACCGAAUUGGGAAGAUUUUAGUCGCAUUGUUCCUUGACAACAAAACGACAAGGACCUACAUGUGAAGUUAUCGAUUCUGUCAUGUGGUUCCAACAAAACGAUAAUGAUUAUUUUUUUUCAUUGGGUGUAGCAUUGACAUGGACGUGAAUCAGAUAGGCGUCAUUGUUUGCUAUGGUGGAGAGUUUGUUAUUGGCACUGAAGAUUGGGAAUAUAGUGGUAGAAAUGAUGGUACUAUUUAUGUCAAUGUUUAGAAGCCAUCAUAUAUUGAUUUUCUGAGGGAUUUUGUGUAUUUUUUACGAUGUAAAGUGCAAAAAUUACAUUACUGUGUUCCUAGAAAGGAAUUGAAGGAUGGGUAUUAAGGAUAUCAUUUACCAUUAUCUUCACAGUGAAGAAGUUAAGGUAUUUGUUGAGUAUUAUAGUGAGGAUGAGGAUAAGGAUGGGGAUGGGGAUGAGCAGACCACCACUGAAGGAGGAGAAGUGAGGGAUCAUGUUCAAGCGAGUAAUUAGGUCGGGGAUGAGUUUAGGUUAGAUGAAGCACAAAAUGAGAGGGAGAUAAGUCAUAUUGAUAGAGAUGAACAAAGAGGGAGAUGUCCUGAAAUCUUGGGUGAAGAUUUGAGUGAAGAUGUGGGCGAUGAAGACUUCAUUGGAUUAGAAUGAGAAAUUGUUUUAUCUAGUGAAUCGGAAGAUGAAUGUUUGGCUUUAGUAAAUUUCCCAAGUGACGAAGAUGAUGAUGAACUCCAUAGUCAAGACAAAAACAAAAGGAAUUUCUGAGAAAAAAACUUACAGCUUCAGCAAAAAGGCCCGAGCUAGUAAAUAGGGAUGGAGAUCCAGUUGAGGGUAAUAGAAGUGAAGAUGAAGAAAGCUGUGUCGAUGAAGUUGUUGGUUCGAAAAAUGAGCUUGACAAUAAUGAUGAAGAAUCUGCUCCUCGAAAAAAAAGUAAGUACCAUUGCUAUGAUCCGACUGCUAAUAAAUCUGUUUUGUUGGUGGGCAUGAGAUUUGACGAUGCCAAACAAUUCAAGGAAGCUAUUGUGAAGAACACAAUUGGUGAACAGAGGAGCGUUAAAUUUAUUAGAAACACGAAGGAAUUUGUGAGAGCUAAGUGCUCACAACCUAAUUGUUCGUGGAAGCUCUAUGCCGCACUUAGUAAGAAUAGGUCAUUCCAGAUUAGGUCCUUUUAGGAGGAGCAUACUUGUCCAAUUAUCUUUAACAAUAAAAGGGUAACAAGUGUGUGGUUAUCAAAGCAUUUUUUCAAUACUAUCAAAGCAAUGCCCGAGAUCAAGAGUCUUUAAUUUCAACAGUUAGUUAAGGAGCAAGUAGGGGUUAAUGUAUCGAGGAAUCAAUGUAAGAGAGCUAAGAUGAGAGUGAUGAAGAUAUUGAUGUGUGGGUAUAAGGAAGAAUAUGCGCAUGUAUGGGAUUAUGCUAGUGAAUGCAUAUUUCAAAACCCAUCUAGUAGAGUAUAUGUAGAGGUUGUGGAGAGGCCACUCCCUGAUCUUGGGCCUAGAUUUGAUAGAUUUUAUAUCUGUUUUGAUGCAUGCAAACGGAGCUUCUUGACUGGUUGUAGAAGAGAUAUAGGAUUGGAUGGAUACUUUCUAAAGGGUUUAUGCAAUGUAGAGUUAUUGGUUGCUGUGGGGAGAGAUGCCAAUAAUCAAAUGUUCCCGAUAGCUUGGGCGGUGGUAAAGAUAGAGAACAAGGAUAUUUGGUCCUAGUUCCCAAAAAAUUUAAUGGCUGACCUUGAGAUAACCGAUGGGGAAUGAUGGAUAUUCAUGAGUGACCAAUAGAAGGUAAUUUCAUUAUCAAUUAAUUCACUCCAUUUUAAUAUUAAUCACUUACAUAUUUUUCUUAACUUAUAUUUAUUGGUUUGAAUUUUUGUAGGGACUUAUUCCUGCAUUGGCUGAAUUGAUGCCAUAUGUUGAGCAUAGAAUGUGCGCGAUGCACAUAUAUGCAAACUGGUCAAUGAACUUCAAAAGAGAUAGGAUGCAGAAGCAGUUUUGACAGAUAGCAAAGAGUACGAAUAUGGCUGAUUUCAUAUUAGUCAAACAAGGAUUGUUGCAGCUGACAAAGAAAGGUUUUGAUGCACUCUUCCAAACAGAAGCUAAGCACUGGUGUCGAGCCUUCUUUAGCGAAGAGUUCAAAUGCGAUAUCAUUGAUAACAAGCUUUCAAUGGUAGAAUUUUAGAGGCCAAGUGCAAAUAAAUCAUCAGCAUGCUUGAUGAUAUUCGAGUUAUGAUUAUGACUAGAUAGCAUAAGUAACAAGAUGAGGCUACAAAAUGGAGUAGAGACUGUACCCCUAGGAUUGUGAAGAGAUUUGAUGCAAAUAUUGCUGCUAGUAGGUUCUACCAUUUAGUUUGGAAUGGAGAUAAUGGAUAUGAGAUUAUUCAAAAUCAGGAUAAGUAUGUUGUCAACCUAGAUAGAAGAAAGUGUUCAUGCCGAGCCUGGCAACUAAAUGGAAUUCCCUGUGCCCAUGCCAUUUGUGCUAUUCAGAUGAAGCAAAAAAAACCCAGAUGAUUACCUACAUGAUUGGUACAAAAAAAGUUCAUACCUUGCUUCAUACCAAUUCAUGAUGCAGCCUAUCAGAAGCAGCAAAUUUUGUGAGUCAACAAAUCAUGAAAGCCCUCUACCUUUAUCGCUAAAGAAGCAAAUAGGAAGACAAAAAAAGAGACGAAGAAUGCAGCAAGAAGAGACAUAAAGUCAAAGGAUGAGUAGGACUGGAUCAAAGAUGAAAUGCUCCUAUUGCCGCAAGGAAUGGCACAAUAAGAAAGGUUGUGAGCUGAAAAAGCAGCAUCAACAGCAAGAUGUAAUAGCUGAUUCAGUGCCAGGGACAGGACCUACUAAGAGUUUCUUGUUAGGCAUAUUGAAGGGAGGACAGAAGGCCCUGCUGUAAUGCCUACUGAAGGGAAAACAGAAAGCCAUGCUGUAAGGUAAGUAUCAUCUUUGUCUUAGUAACUUUACAGUUCUUAUUCGAUAGAGUUUGAUGAUUGACCAUGUGUACUGGCUUCUCUUGUGCUUUUCCUCUAUCAUGCACUUGUAAUUUGAGAAGUUUUCUCCAUUUGUUUCCACCGUGAAAAUGAGUAAAUGUCUAAUUAUUCGUUGUAGUUGGUCAUAAUCUUAAUACAGUACAUUGUUGUAAGGCCUACUAAAGGGCCAGAAAAAGGCCCUGUUGUAGGCUCAAGUGUAGGGACAAGGACUGGAAUAGGCAGGACAGCAACAACAACAACUGAGUCCACUGUUGAGCAAACAAGAAAAAAAUAUCUUGUAAGUUUUACAUCGUUGUGUUUGGUCUUUUAUGAGCUAAAAUUUACAUUUGUUAUGUGUUUCUCAGGUGAGAAGACGAGCAACUGCACAAGUUACAAAGAUUGCUACAAGGAUUGUUGUUGUUGAAAAUGAUGCACCACAGCGAACAAGAGGGGCUCUUGGAAAAAGAUUAAAGCAAUAUGGUUAUGGGAUUUACACAAAUGAACGUACUAGAAUGACUAUUUUGAAUGUAAGAUUUAUAAGUUUUAUGCAUUUAAUUUGUUGUACUUCAAUUCAUUUGGUUGACAAUAACAAUAUCACUAUGUUCUUAUAGCCUGGGAGAACUUCGGAGGUACUUCUCUCUCAAAGUGGGCCAACUCAAGAAUUAAGGGCGCAGCCAAAGAAGAGUGCUCCAAAGAAGAAGAUGACAGCGGAUAUAGCUGCGAAAUAGCCAUCCAAAAAGAACCCAACACCAGUUCCAUCUCAACCAACAAUUGGGAGCGGUAGUAAUGAUAUGGACCAACACAUGACACGUGCUAGAACAAAAAUAGCCGCCAUAAAAAACAAGGAAAAAGAAAAUGAGGUGACAGAAAGCCCAGUUAAAGAACCUGCACAUCCAGUUCGAAAGAGUGCUCGGAUUAUGAAUCAAUUCAAAGCUCCAAGAGGAAAAAGAGAUCAUGGUGUUGUCAAUAUUUACUAAUGGGAGGGUGCUGGACAUGGUCUCUUUUUAUGUGAUGCUGGACAUGGUAUCUUUUCAUGUUUUCUUUUUUUAGGAGUGUGCUGGAUAUUAUAUCAUUGAUGGUAGUUGCUGCAUGCAUAUUGCUAUUGUUUUUUUUUUUUUUUAAGAGAGUGCUGAACUUUCGAUGAUUGUGGAGUGAAGUUAGACAUGCUUUUCUUUUCUUUUGUAAACAAUAAAUUACUGUUAAUGGCAACUACAGGAAUGAUUAUUCAUUUUCUCUUGUGUUGGUUUCGGUUAGAAUGCUAGCAAGUCAGUUAUGCUGUAUAUUUUAUUUUUGAUGUUACUGUAAUGUUGUUGUUGCUGCAAUGUUACUGUUGUUGAUUGAAAUUGUGGAUUAUAAUGAAUUUGUGGGGUUCUGAGUAUAUGUGUUGCUACAAGAAUACUUUGGGUGCUGGUACAUCUUGUUACAUCAACACCUAUAUGGGCUGGUGCAAGAAGACCAAUAACUCAACUAGUGCAAGAACAAGGUGCAUUUGGAAUGUGACGUUUGGCACUAACAUGGUCUUUUUUAAAAAACUUGUACAACAUAAGUAAUCACUUUGUAAUCGUGAUUGGCACUUAAAUGAUCACUUUUAUAAAACUUGGCACUCAAGCGAUCACUAUUUACAACUUAUGGCACUGAAAUGGUCAAUCGUGAAUUUGCCACCAUCUUUUAAUUUCGGCUAGUUUGCAAUUGCAACAAACCAGCAAACUAGAAAACUAGCAAACCAGCAAACCAUUACCAAAUAAAAAAUGUAGCAAACCAUUACCAAAUAAAAAAUGCAGCAAAUCAUUACAAAAUAAAAAAUGGUUAAUAUCCUAAAAAACCCAAAACCAGUACACUUGUGAUAAAUUUACCCCAAACUAUUUUUUAAGUUAAAUUAAAUGUGACAGUUGACUAAUAUAUCGAUUUAGGAUUUUAGGCAUUGUUUGUCACAGUUUACAAUUUUUGUGAUUUUUUUAUAGUAUUAAUCUAAUUUAACGGAAUGUAUAUUUGUCACAAAUUUAUCAGUUUGAGGUUUUUUGUAGUCGAAUAAAUUAGUUUAGGAUAAAAUUAUCGUAAAUGUACCAGUUUAUGGUUUUUUAUAGUCAGUUAGGGUAAAUUUGUCACAAGUGUACCAGUUUUAGGGUUUUUUAUGGUAAAAAAAAUAGUUUUUGAUAAAUUUGUCAUAGGUAUACCAGUUUUGGGUUUUUUUUUAGGGUAUUAACCCAAUAAAUAAAUGCAGUAACCAUUACUAAAAGCUUUCAAUGCAGCAAACCAUUACCAAAUAAAAAAUGCAGCAAACCAUUACCAAAUAAAAAAAAUGCAGCAAACCAUUAUCAAAAUUUUUCAAUGCAGCAAACUAUAACCAAAUAAAAAAUGUAGCAAAUCAUUAUAUUUGAAGCAAAAAUUAAUCAAAACAAAUAUUGACAAUACACAACUAAACAAAAAAACUUUUAAGUGCUCACAACUAAUACAUUUCAAGUCCAAUCUUGCAUUUCUACCGAUAUAUUACAGCAACAAAAUAUUUUGCUCCAUACAAAAAUUGCAGCAAACCAAAAAACACAUUUUAUUUAUAAAUAAUUCAAUACAAGUGCAUAUUCCAUGUCUUCGACUAUGGUAGACAUACAAACUUCUUCUCAUUACUCACUUUACCUUUGAAUAAACUACCCAAGAGAAAAAGAACACAAUCAACGCUUGAUAAAAGUUUCUUCCAAUUUUUAGCCUUGAAAUCCCCCUCUUCAAAUGGUCCACCAAAUAUGUUAAACCCUUCAUUUGAGCUUGCAUUGAGUCGACAUCCUCCAACUCAUCCAUUAACAUAGGUGGAAGUUGAUUUUGGCUUUCAAGUAACUCCAAUAUCAUGUAUGUCGCUCGAUCAAAGAAUUUCCUAUCAACUCAUUUGAAGUAUUGGCACUUCGAGCCUUUUCUAUAUCUGCCGCACCCAUGGAAUCUUCUCCUGGGAUUCAAUCGAGUCCAAGAUGUUCUUCUCGAACUUGGUAACCCACAAUAACAGUAACACUCACCAUCUAAUUCGCCUUUUUUUAUAGGAAUGUGAGCCGCUGUUAAAGCUUUUGUCAUCCAUUUGCAAGAGCGAGUUGAUAACUUCAGGAGAAAAUUGAAGUAUGCACUCAAAAUGGUCAAAUUGGGGAUUUAGAGUUUUCAACUUCCGAUUCUAGUAGAAAUUGGGGAUUUAGGGUUUCUUAUGUGGGGGAAAAUGAUAAAAAGCAUCGUUUUGUUCUUUGUAUGCUGAUUGUAUUCUCUAGCGAUCCACGUCGGCAUCAAAAAUUAAUAAAAAACUGCCAUGUCAGAUUUCCGGUCAACCAAAUCGGCGAUGGCACCAAAGUGAUCGUUUUUCAAAAUUUUUGGCACUUAAGUGAUCCGACGGAAACUUUUGGCACCAAAGUAAGCGCCGUACACAACUUAUGGCACAAUUAGUGUACUUCUCCCAAGGUUUUGAUGUGAUUGUCGUUGGAAUUUACAGGGCCGUCUCGUGGCAAUAGAUUGCCUGCUUCCCCUUGUUUGAUAAUUUCUAGUUUACCGUAUUCUUCUGAAGCAAGUGCUGAAAUGGAGGAACCCAUAGGAUUUUUUGCUUUUUUCCAUCUAAUGUGUCUUGACACAUCGUGGAGUUCUUUUUCUGAUAUUUGGUUCUUGUAAUAUUAUGCAGAGACCGUGAAGGAGAUGUAUGAUAAAAUUCUUGAGUCCGCUAAUAUGAAAAGAACAAUGGCUCCAAACGCAUGGACGUGGUCGAUGAUUGAAAAUUGCAAGAACAGAGAGGAUAUCAGAGCUUCUCUUUGAUGUCUUGCAGAACCUACGUAGAUUUGUCUGUUGACUUCUUGCUCCAUUUGAGAAUUAAAGUUUUAGUUUGUGAGCAGUUGACAAACCAACUUGUUUUUUUCUUUCAUUGGGCAGAUUGUCAAAUCUUCAAAUUCAUGAGAAUUUUAACUGCAACCUUUGUCGGAUAGUCACAAAAGCAUGAGUGCAUGCAAGGGCUCUUGAUUUUGGGGAGCUUUAUCUACACAAGUUGUGUGCCAAGUUCAAAAAUUUUAUAUCUUGCUAAUAUAUUCACCCGAUUCUUCUUCUUCAUUCGAUUGUUGCUAUGUACCCUAUCAUUAGCACAAUCAUUUUGUUGUUAUGUUGUUUGCUCUCACAUGAUCUUUUUACCUAAAGUCUGUCAUGCUCGGAGAACAUAUUCAGUUGCUUAUGAAAACUUUUGACUAUCGCGCUGGUACCGGUAGCUAGUUAUGCUUUUUUGUUUUUUUUCCUUGAUGCAUCAAUUAUGUAAACCGGAAUUUUGUCCUACACGGUUGCUACACGUCUAUUAAGUGUGGGUAUUGAAAUAACAUGACACAUUCUUGCUAAUAGUUUUUCACGUUUGAAUGUGUAAAAGCACAUUCAAUUUAAAGUACAUAGGACAUUGUUAAAAAUGUAUUAACUUGUCUUGUGUGAGUAACAUGUUAACUUGCUCGACAUGCUUCAAUGUGUUUAAGUGGUAAAAAGGUCAAUUUAUUUUACAUGUACAAACUUGUUAACUCAUUGAUGACUCAGACAAUUUUAAGCUCAAUCCAACUUAGUAUGUGUCAAACACUUAUUCUGUAAACAGGUCUUUUCGCACAUUGCUGGCUCUGUAGGACUCUGAUUUAUUGAAUGACACCUCCACUUCAAGUUAUUGAAUUCAUUGUUGAAGCUUGGCAAAGAGCAUUCACUUUUUGCGGACUUGUUUUUAUGAACAUCAAGCUUCAGUAGUUGUCAGUUCAACCUGUUUCUAGUAAUUAAGCUCUUCAUAAUUUUCAAGCAAAAUAAAUCAAAUCAAUCUGCAGUUCCAAAGUGUAGUUCAUGUUAGGAGAUUGCAGCAAUUAAUUGUCACUGGGAGUACAUGAUUUAAUCAGAACCUAUAUCUGUAAAUCCUUAUUUAGGCUAAGAAAUUAAUUCGCAUGGUGCACUUAGUACUUGAUGAUAGAAACUAAGGGUUGACAAAAUUGUAGGUAAGAAGGCCUCGUGGGAGCAUAAUGUCUAUGGAUUGACCCCUACGAUUGGCUAUGCAAACCAUCUUUUGGUAAUGAUGAAGUGUAUCUAAAUCAAAAAAAUUCUUUUUUCCAUUUGUUUUAUUUACACAAUUCUUCCGCUAAGUUGGGGUAUUGCAAUGCAGCAAUAUGCUAAAGAGCACAAAGAUGCCACUCUCAGAAGAAGAAUAACUUGCCAUUGCAACCCAGCACAGCUGAUAGUGUUUUCAGGUUCACUUCCGUGCUGUUUUCCUGAGAAUGAUGUCAUUAUCAUGUAGGAAGCCAUUAUUGCACUUAAUUGUGUGAAAUGUACUACAUAGUUAUCAAGCAAUUUAUCCAAUUUAUAAGUGUCUUUUAUAUAUGAUUUAAUCAACUUGUUUUUAUUUUGAAUCAUUUUGUCUGCACUGCUACUCUCGAUCUAAUAGUUUGCUCAUGUUACUUGACAUCCUUUAUUUCCAUGGAAAAAUUUUGCAGCAUUUGUGAUGAUACAGACAAUUGGGGGUUGCUCACAAAGUAUUCAAAGAGAUUUGUCAAAAAGGGAGUGAAUCUGCAUAAAGCUGCAUUUGACAUCUGGAUGGAGUUUGCUGCAAAAGUAGGUGAGAAACACUCGCUCUGUCUCCCUUCACUGCUCUCAAGCCCUUGCCCCUCAACAAUCUUAUUUUCCAUUUCUCCCCACAAAUAGUUCUCUCAUCUAGGUCCCGCCACUUACUACAAAAGAUGGGAUGUGCUAGAAUAUUUUCUUACUGUACAAUGAUUUCUUUCUCUCCUUAAGCAAAAGGGUAGAAAUAAGAAUUGAAAAGAAUUUUCACUGCGCCAUGUCUUUCAAUGUCUUUGUUUCUUUAAUUGUUCUGAGAUUAUGCUUCUUUAUCCUAUUUAGUGGUUUGACGAAAAUUACCCUUUUCAGGAGACAUUGAAUCUCUAUGGAAAACUGAGAAGUUAAGAUGUGAGUCCAUGAAGCAGCAUACCAUGGGCAGUGGGUUCUCAUGUGCGAAGGUAGUUUACAAACACAAACUGUUGAAAUCACAAAUAUCAGACCCCGAAAGCACUAGGUCUUCUUGCAUUAGAAAAUCUGAUAAUGGGAAAAUAUUACUAUUGCGAUACAGAUCAGUACAAAGUUCUUGGUAAACCAGGUGAGAGGUCUAUGGCCAAAAAAAGCGGGAGUUAAUGCUUGAAUAAACCAAAUUUUGGCUCACAUCCUAGGACAUGAAGCACCUAUGGGCAUGAGAAUGCUCAUUGUCAUCACACGAAGGAGAUAUAACUACUUUUUUCGGUAUUUGGAAGCAUUUAUUGUGGCUUUUAGCACUCUGGUUUAAGAUUAAAAUUUAACCGACUGUCAUUUACUUGUUUUGUGGCAAACUAAAUGGUUUUAUAUUCAAUUUUUUGUGCAGGGAUAUUUACUUGAAGGCAAACCUGAGGAGGCUGCUACAGUCAUUCGCGUCUUGAAUCAGGUGCUCCUCACUUCUCAGAGCAUCUAUAGCUAUUAUUAAUAUGCUCAUCAUCACCAUCUGGCAUGAUUGCAAUCCUAAAUUACCUCAGCCUCUGAACUAGUCAUUCAAUUUUCCAUAUACUGUCAAGGAAUGAAGCAAUUAGUGGAAGAUAUACGGAAUUGUCCCCCGAAAUGUGCUCAGAAAAAUUACCAUGACAUAUCCUCUCUCGAGGGGGACUGGGUGAUUUGGGUUUCGUAUUUGGUGCCUACUAUACUAUUGAAAUAACACGAGUUAGUUCCAUGGAUCCUAAUAGAGUUUGAAAGAUCAUCUCAGACUCCUCCUGAAUUGAAUAAAGUUGGAAAGACACCAAUGUAGGCUCUGUUUGUUCAGAUGUCGCUUCUUAGGUGUCGCAAUGUGAAUGCCUUGGAUUGAUGCCAGAGUAAACCUGAUGCUAAGAGGUCCAGCAUCAUGGUUGAACUUCAAAAGCUUGUCAGUGAGUGGCUUUUCGAGGUCAUCAAAAGGAAGAAAGAAGAUGACCGCAAGGUACUUCCUUUGACUAAAUAUCCAUCACUUUGGGUAGAAGUAGAAAUAUUGCCUGUUUGGAGUUAUAUAUUGCUCUGGUAAUGUUUGAAGAUGACCCGUUGCUGGAUGUAUAUAUGCUGCUUUGAACUAUCUCAAAAUUUUUAAAACCUCUCAUUCUUUUCGCUCAUGUAGGCAUUGGCUGCUUCUCUCAAAUCCGAUAUCCCAGCCAUGGUUAGUUCCUUAUUAAACACGGGCUUGCAGGUGAAAGCGAAUAACCACCGAAGGCACCCUUUGUUAAAGUAUGACAGAAUUGGAGAUUGAAUGCACUAGCUGCAGAUCUGUCUCCUAUGUGGACCGCUAAGGUUGCCAUGUAAGUUUAAACCGAUUCCGCUGAGAAGCAAGACAAGCGCGGUACUCACGUCUCGAGCAACAAGCAUCUGAAGUUCUCUUGUAAAGGUCCCUGAACCAUGAAAAGAUCUGCUCCUUCUUGAUUUGAAUGCUGUCACUUCUGUACUUUCGGAUAAUGAUUUUUUUCUUUCCCAAAAAUAUCUGAAUGUAUUAGAGACGAUAGGUGCAUCAUCAGCAAUUGAAUUCUGAGAACAACCUCGGAUGACUAGUUUUUGCUGAGAGGACUCUUCUGGCUCACAAAUUUUAGAUUGGACCAAAUGGGCAGUUAAGAGAGACAAUUGAUAAGGUGGUCCUUUCAAUUUCAAUCUGAUUUGGCAGCGUUUUGUUAUAUUUCUGACAGAAUUUCGCUGUCCAAAAUUAAGAGAGUGAAUUUUAUGCCGACUCAUUCGAUCUUGGCAUACAGCGACCACCAUUGUUUCCUGAUUUAAUCGGAUUGAACUGUCCAAUCGUGGUGCCAGAGUGCAUAACAUAAAUUACAUGCCUUUUUACAUCAUGAAAGAUAACGAAGAACCUGAAUUACCAGAUUUGGCUUUGGUACCCACAUGCGUAGGUGCGUGCGUGCGUGCGUGCAUUUUGUGCAUAUAAGGUGUAAAAGAGGUGACAAACGCAAUCCUCUAGAAUUAAAACAUGUGCAUUAAUCGUGCGCAAGUUUUAGCAAUGAAUUGACAUAAUUGUAAUAGGUGUGACUUUUUUGAUAAUUUUUCCGUAUUCACACUAAAAAAUUUAGGAUUAUAAUCAGAUUGUAUAGGAUUGAAUUUGAAUUUAUACAAUAAGCUUAUGACUGAAUUUACGAUUCUCCCAACUCAAAUAAUUCUCCCCCUCUUCUAUCUCCUCUCCUCAUUUGUAUAAAAUGGGCAAUGAGGGUUGGCUUAGGUAGUGGAAGGGAAACCAUCCUCCCAAUGACCAUCCUGGAGAAAGUCCACCCAAAUUCAAAUCGCAGGGGAAGAAAACAAACCUCUUCUCACUUUGAAUCACCACACUGAGUGUUGAUUUUAGCUCCUUAAAAUCUUCCUACACAUCCAACCCCUCGGGAUCCUAGCAUCAAGAGACAAUCCUUCCGGAUUAUAAGAGUGAGAGUAGAAGUCACAUCCUAUGAUUUCCAAUCUUUCGCAAGACAUGCAAAUAGAUUUGCGUAUGGUUAAUAUGAGAAAAGAGCUAUCCUAUACACUCGCAUUUAGUUGAUAAAAAGGUUGAUCAAUUUGUAGAUGACAUGCAGCGACUUAAUUUCCAUUCACAUAUAAAUAACAUGUAGCCCAUCCUAGGUUGUGUCAAAGCCCCAAUACAUGUAUUAGAUACUAUGCCAUCUCAAUCCGAAAAAGCAAAAGGGACAUAUUGAUGUUUUCCAAUCAUCACACCUUGAGAAAAGACGACACAUUUUUUACUCUAGCAGGUGAGACAUCCUUCCGACGGUAGUCUCGGAAGAUGAAUCUUGCUUCCGAUCUCCAUAAUCUAGCAACAAUGAUGGUGAUUCCACUGGACUAGUGAGGACUACUUUUAUCUUCCUCUCCUUUAUGUACUUAUCACUUCCUUUAUCAAACAAAAAAUCUAAAAGAAAUUUCUCGAGUUACUUAACCCGAAACAUUAUGGAACAUAUAUUAGUAAAACUUGUCAUGUCAACAGUGAUGUCCUCUUCAUCUGUAUCAGGAACUUGUCUCUGCACCGCAGGACAGGUGGAGCUACUUGUGGUGCUUAACAUGGUAACUGCAUCAAAUAGAAGAUAGGAUGAAAAGCUACUCCAAUUUUUUUGAAAUAUCAGGACAUAGCUUCUGAGGCCUAUCACAGUUUCCCUUUAUCUAAGGUAUAUUAGACUACUAUGGCGGGCAUUCAGAAUCUUAUUCAAAGAUGAUCCUUGCUGUAAUGCGACUGACUCCACCUUAAGCAGUUCGUACCCCAGCAACAAUAUAGUCCAAUUGACAUGUCAUGGCAAAGAAAUUGCAGAAGAAUCUUUUAGCCGAUUCAAGUACCGUGGGCAUGUCCCUCCUCACAAGUAUGUUAGGGGCUCUAAUAAGUAUGUGACAUGAUAUUCCAUGGACUUGAGCUACACGAUUUCGAAUCAGAUGCUCCAUUGGGCUUGAUGAUGCCUACAUUCGGCCACACACAGUAUUUCUUCAAAGACGUAGACUUAACCCAGAAUGCUUUGGAUCUCUAGUAUAGAGUUCAUAUUGUCUCUCCCCAAUAGAGAGCUUUAAAUGCACUGGUGUCCUACUCUGAAAAUUAAAUUACAUCCACAAAUACAAGAUUGAAAGGAAAUUGUUCACCCGCCAUAACCUGAAAAGAGUAAAGCAUGAUCAUGGUGAAAGAAAAGGUCCAAAAAAUCUUCCCCUUGAAAGCAACAUAUCGAUCAGUCUUGUUGCCUAACAGAAUCGAGCAUGAGCUUUGUUUACCCAACUCAACUACAUAGACACGAAGAAGAGGCUUCAGAUAUAAGAACUUAACAGGGUACGUCACGAUAGCAGGAUGUGAUGAAAUGUAACAUUGUACAUUUUCUUUGAAGAUAUAAUGUAGUAAUGCAAUCUCGAUGGAUAUUCCAAAGAACUUACAAGAGAAGACAACUCCUAGUAACUACGGGGUACAAUGGAAAUGAACAUUCAAAGCCUGAGAUUAAUCCUGGGAAAAAUGGAAAAGUAUGGAACAACAAACUUUGAUUUACAUCACAUGAAGCAAGGACAACGUGAUAAGUGAAUUCAAGCAUCCCAUGGAAUUCUAUUGGCACCGGCAGCUUCUACUGAUUCCAGUUCUGCCACAACUAUAGUCCUGGAAGGCCACUCGUUAGGAGUCAUUUGGAGGCAUUGUAAAGCAAGCUGUGCUAUUUGGAAUGCAGAAUCUAUAUAUGUAAGGUAUAGGGAUGGUAUAAAUUUGGUUCCCAUUUCCUGCAGGCUGCAAACAUCGUGAGCCACCGGCUUCUUCCAAGAUAUCCAGUGUUUCUUUUUUGGGUAAUUGGAGCAUCUGCAGAAAUGAAAAGUUAUGUAGGCAAUACAACUGUAGAUUCCAUGCCAAAGGAUUUAAGUAGCUAAAAGGAAAACACACCUCGUAUUUCAUAGAGGGGAUUAUAGUGAACCUCACACCAGAAACUCAACCAAAACUCUGCAUCAAUUGAAAGUAAGGUUAACAAAAGGAAAAACUCAAAAAAUAUGGAGUUUCAAAAGACCAGUUGCACAUUGAACAAAAGCAACAGUAGAUCAAUUGCAAAUGUUUACACCUAGGUUUAAAAUCAAUCAAAUAUAUAUUGAGCUGUACCCAAGCAGCUGUCCUAAGCAAGCAAAAGAACAGAUAUUUAAUUUCCCAGAUGAACAACAAGCAAAGCAUCACAAAGGAGGGUCUAUGCGUAUAUGUAUGCAAGAAACACUCUUUUUUCCAAGACAAAUGAGAAGUAAAAUAUCAACUUCACAUUCAUCACAUUGCACUGACUGAUCAUUUGACCCAACAAAACAACUAUGAAGAAGACUAGCAAGCAAUACCCAAGACAGAGGGAACUUAUAAAUCCGAUGGCCCAACAAUAAUCAAGCUAUCAGUAUCAAGAGGUUUUAGACCUCCUUCAGGCUCUCCAACAUCAACCAAAUAAGCAUUGAACAUCAAUGACUCACCGGAACAAUUAACUUCAUCAUUCUUCAAAAUUAUGCAUUUUGACAGCUGCUCGCUGCCAUCAUAGGGCAUUACCUAUCAUAUAUCCGACCAUCAAUCACAGCAUGGACUAAUCUACUCCAAACAAGCUCAAUCACGGAGAGUAUUACAACCAAAAGCACAGAACAUAACAAUCCAUGAUGAUAGAAAAAAUGAAACCCUAGGCAGCAUCGAGCUGCUGCCAUUAAGUUUGAUCAAGCAAGCCAAAUAUGGGGGAAAACGGUAAUAAAUCAAUAGCCACUGCAAUUUUGACACAGAUUAGCCAAUCAAACCAAAUCAUGUCCAAGCCCAAUCAAAGGCAACUAAAUUGCCCACCAGGUUGAGCUGGACAUCACUAGAAGAGAUUAGUAGUGAAAGCAAAGGUACCUUGCUGGUGGAGGUGCAGAGUGAGAGGAAGCCGUCGCAAUAGACCUUGCGCUUCAGCUUCUGCUUCAGGUGCUUCUUGAAGGUGACAUUCCAGCACACACAGACUCAAGCACAUAACUCAUUUCAUCAAACACCAAAAUUGCACAUGAUCACCAAACACUGGACAGGCAAAACUUAGAUGGUUCACACUUACACGAAGCAUAAUUCGCACACUAAUUACAAACACAAUCCAAAAGCAGUUCAGGAUUGAAAAAGAAAACAAGAGCACAACACCGAUCCGCUCCUAGAACCUGUAUUGCCGGCUCAAAAUGCAGGCGUUGAGUCCAUCACAGAGCUGAAAGCUCUGAUGUAUUCAUCCGUGGGAUUCUGCUGAGUCCGGAUGUUCUGUAUAAGGGCAACAAGGAUGGUGAUGCCAGAUUUCUGUCCCUCAAGAUUCCGUUUGAUGCGAUGUUCAUUUUCCUAAUCAAAACUCCAGAGUUAGAGCUUAAGCUGGCAGACUUGAAAUCCAUAUCCUAGGUGCAAUUUCUCCCUCUUAACCCAACCUUGAUUGAGGAUGAGGACCACAAUACCAAUGUGUGCGCAGAAGCUCUCCCUGAUGCUCAUAGAGUUCAACUUGACUAAAAUUUCUGAGAUUCUACACCCAAAGACAGUCAGCCAUUGCUUCAGAUUUUCACUUGGUGAUCUGUCCUGUGCAAAUGUGAAUGAUGUUGAGCUACGGGUGGCUCUGGCAUCGACUCCAGAUAUGGAUCCCAAGUUGCUUUCUCAGCUGAAAGUAGCACAGCGGAUUGGAAAUCUUUUGGAGUUUGUACAUGGGAAGAAUUUGGAAGAUUUUCUCAAAUUGAUGCUUGGCUUGUGCAAAGCUCUUCUUUUAUGAUCACCAGGUUCCACGAAAGUUUUCACGUACAUGGAAGAGCCAACACUACCUGAUGAAAGUUCUUCUGAGGCAGCAAGUAGCAUAUGACACAUAGCUGACUCUGGUGGCAGUGCCAGUGUUUUCCUGGAAUUGAGUGGGUCUCAUGACAGAAACAAUGCUGAUAAUGCUUAUGAAUGCACAGUUCUAGUACUGAAGGCGGCCCCAAGGGAAGGUGCUCUCUUUUCCUUACCAAUCUUUUGUAAGUGAGUGCAAUUCUCAAGUCUCGGCAAGACAGCCUCCUUCUCUACUGGUACAGCAAAUGCUGCAUUCUAUCAGUUACAACUGUAGGCGAUGUUUGCUGCAUAGAAUGAUCUUUGUCAGUGUGCCCGUCAAAGAUUGCUAUGAUUGAAGGCAUCAUUGCUGAGAUAAAAUAUUCUGGUGCUGCUGUUCAGCCAGUGCUGCCACACUGGUAAUCUCCGAAUUCCAGUGGCUCCCUCAUUUAUGACUUCUCCAUAACAUUUGCAAAUCCCACUAAGAAGCACACCUUUCCUGAAAAAUAAACUGAACUUAAGCAUGGCAAUACAGAGUGUCUAUCUACUUCAAAGUCACAACAAUGAGUUGAUUGUGCUGUAAAGUCCUAGAAUGAGAACCAUAGUUGUAUGACCUUCCAACACACAUUCCAUCUAUUUGUUUACAGCAUAGCAAAUUUAUCUCCCAUGCAAAGUGAGGUUAUCAAUUUCAAAAUAUGUGUGAAGCAGCAAAUCAACGACGAUCUCUAAUAAGUUGUUACAUAUCAAAUAAAAAUGAUGCAAUCGACAUGCAUAUGUCACGGACCGAGAGAAGGCCGAUCCGUGAGGUUCCCCGAGGACGACCCCGACUCGUCCAUGGAAGACCUCCUACUCCAACUCGGGUUCCCAUCAAAGCUUCUCCCUGAAGCUUCCAAGGGAGGACGACACCGUCAUUUUGCCUGACUCUAGAAGCUUCCGUUAUUUAUGUCGGUAGACGGUAGUUAAAUAUUUAUGUCAGUAGUUGAGGCGGUGCGAUCUCGCCCGUCAGAUAAAAAGUAGAUCAACGGAUGUAAACCGAGGCCCUCAACUAUAAAAAGGGGUGCCCUCCUUCAUUUGUAAUCACCCAACAUUUCAGCAAUACAAAGUUCAUUUCCUUCCAGAGCUCCUCUCUCUUACUUUCUCUCUCAACGAUUCGGGUAAGCGAGCGGGUUAGCGUUCGAUCGAGCAACGCUUGGCCCGGGUAGUCCAAAAUCGCCCGAGUCGCCGCGCGGUCAUGAUCCCAAUUGAUCGGCCCGUGACAAGUGGUAUCAGAGAAAAAUAGAGAUUCGUUUGAGAGACCAAGGAGCGCCAACUGUUCGAAGGAAUGUCGAGCCAAGAAGCUGUCAUGGUUGGAGAGACCGUGCAAGUCCAAGAGGACCGCGGUCGUGGAAAGAAAAGAGACGCCUCGAGGGACGUCAUAGCUGUGUUCGAUGAGAAGAUCGCGAAUGUCCGGAGCGCUGUGCACGAACUCAUGGAAGGUCUUGACGACGUGCGAGACCGGAUCAUGGAGGUUGACAGUUCACUCUGUGAAGACUUCACUUCAUGCAUCAAUGAAGCUACCGCGCCAUUACACGACAAGGACGAAACCCUUGAAGCAUCGAUCGAUGUGUUGAAGGAGCGUGUCCAAGUGGUCGAGGAAGAAGCUCCGCGUAGGGACGAGGUCGAAGCCAUGAAGGCCGAGAUCCAAGAGCUCAAGACCGAGCUUGCCCUGUGCAAACUAAGCAUCACCAAUGGUGCUGUGCCGAACCAAGCGGUGCCCAAAAUUGAGGCGCCAAAGCCGAAAGAAUUCAAAGGCGAACGAUCCGCCAAGGAGGUGGACAACUUUGUUUGGAGCAUGGAACAAUACUUCGGUGCCGUCAACAUGAACGACGAGAUGACCAAGGUACGAACCGCGUCAAUGUUCCUGUCUGAUACGGCAAUGCUUUGGUGGCGCAAUAGGUGUGACGAGGUUAGACGAGGCGCUGAUCCCGUGUGCACAUGGGACGACUUCGUACGAGAGUUCCGGGACUACUUUUUCCCCCAGUUCGCUCAACAAGAGGCCCGUAGCAAGCUCCAUCCCUCGAGCAAAGAGGCACGAUCCGAGAGUACGUGAAGGAGUUCACCAAGCUCAAACUCUAGAUUCGCAACCUGAGCGAAGAGGAGGCUCUCGGAGCGUUCAUGGAUGGAUUAAAGCCAUGGACACUUCUCGAGCUCAAGAGACGGGACGUGAGUAGCCUGGCGCGUGCGCUGAGCGUGGCCGAGUCGCUCGUCGACCUCACCAAGACCGAACCAAGGAGUCGACAAAGAGAUUGGAGGACUGAUCGACCUUGCGAGGAUGAAGCUGGAAGAAACACUCCCCGGGCUGCGCAUGAUCAAGGCGGUCGAGCCAAAGCAUGGGGAGAAGGGUCUUCAAAGCCAGCCUUCCAAAAGGGUAGACCACCGACAGACUACGCGAGCAGGUUUGAUCAACCCCCGCCUUCUCCUUGUUUCAUUUGCCAAGGUCCGCACUGGACCCAAAAGUGCCCAAAGAAGGGUCGAAUCAACGCCCUCCUUGCCAUCGAGGAAGAAAAGGAGGAGUCCAAAGAAGACCGACGACAAAUCCGACUUGGAGCCGUGAAGAUGAUCAACUCCGUCCAAGCUCGGUCCCCAACCAAAGGAAAAGAAGCUGCGUCGGACAUAGAAAUGUUCUUCGUGCAAGUCAACGUGUGCGGCCGAACGCUACACGCCUUGGUCGACACGGGUGCGUCGAACAUGUUCAUGUCAAAGGAAGUGGCAAAGGCCUUGAACCUUCGCGUGGAGCCGACCGAGAACACCUUCAAGCCAAUCAAUUCGGAAGGCGUCCAUGGCGUAGGAUCGACUUCGAAUGUGGACGUCAAAAUUGGCGAUUGGAGGGGCAAAAUGGAUUUCGAGGUAAUCCCGCUUGACGAUUACGAUCUCAUUCUUGGUAUGCAAUUUUUCAAUAGUGUGAGAUCCAUGAUCGACAUGAGGACCAAAUGCCUCGUGAUUCUCGAUCCGGAUUACCCGACGACGGUCCCAAUGAUCAAAGGGAUGGUCGACACCAAGACCAUCGCGUCGAUCCAACACCUCAACAAGAGCUUGAAGGCCGUCAUGCGCAUCAACAAGUUUCCAAGGUGAAGCCGAAGGUCAAGUUGGAUCCUACUCCAACAAAUGCCAUGCCAAUCCAAGCGCUCUUCCCCGAGGUUGAGUACGCACCGCAUGCUCCGUCCAAGCCAAAGGCCGAGUCACGUGCCAAAUCCGACUUCAUCAAUGAAGGUUGCGGUCCGUCAUAUGAGAGCGUCCGCACCAAAUGAAACAAGAACAAGAGAGCCCGUGCCAAAGCCCGUGCUCGUGCCAAGAAGGCCAACCUCCGAGCUGUGAGCGACGAGGGCGUCGCUCGAAUGAGUGGGGGAGAAUGUCACGGACCGAGAGAAGGCCGAUCCGUGAGGUUCCCCGAGGACGACCCCGACUCGUCCAUGGAAGACCUCCUACUCCAACUCGGGUUCCCAUCAAAGCUUCUCCCUGAAGUUUCCAAGGGAGGACGACAUCGUCAUUUUGCCUGACUCUAGAAGUUUCUGUUAUUUAUGUCGGUAGACGGUAGUUAAAUAUUUAUGUUGGUAGUUGAGGUGGUGCGAUCUCGCCCCUCAGAUAAAAAGUAGAUCAACGGAUGUAAACCGAGGCCCUCAACUAUAAAAAGGGGUGCCCUCCUUCAUUUGUAAUCACCCAACAUUUCAGCAAUACAAAGUUCAUUUCCUUACAGAGCUCCUCUCUCUUACUUUCUCUCUCAACGAUCCGGGUAAGCGAGCGGGUUAGCGUUCGAUCGAGCAAGGCUUGGCCCGGGUAGUCCAAAAUCGCCCGAGUCGCCGCGCGGUCACGAUCACAAUCCCAAUCGAUCGGCCCGUGACACAUACCUCUAGGAGAAACCAUCCUAAGAAAAUGUAGCAAAAAAAGGCAAACGAAACUUGGAAAAGAACACAAAUACUUGUACAUAAUUAAGAGCCCUCUGGCUGUUCGGAGGCAUCAUAAUUUAAAUACCUUCAUUAGAUUUUCAGGCAAGAAUCCGCUAAAAGGUCAUUAAAAAGUGCAUGCAAAACUUCUCUGUUCAUAUCUAUGAAAGAAUUUGAUUGCCAAAAAAGGAAAACAUUGGUACUUACCUCAAUUUGUUUAAGGUUUGAACACAAGGGAACAAUUUGUGGUCGUGCAUCAAAAAGCUUCCAAGUGCAACGUGCACUUAUUCAUCUUCUUGCCCAUUAUCCUCUUACAUAUCUUAGUAUUCUUGUUACAUAUCUCAGUAUUCUUGCCCAUCGUCCUCUUACAUAUCUUUGUAUUCUUGCCCAAACCAGUAAUUUGUCUUCUUCAUCAUCUUAUCCCACAAAUUUGAUUGACUUCUCCGAGCAAAGCCGAGAAAUUUCCUCCGCUGCUAAUUUCCCACAACGUCUUAUUGUAACCUCUUGCAGUCCCUUCAAGCUUGAUAGAUCAGACAACUUCUGUAAAGAUCCACACCAUUGAAUCCACAAUGUUUUCAAAGAUUGAGGUAGUUCGCCUUGAAUCUCAACCAGAUUACCGCAGGAUUCAAUGUUCAAGUAUUCCAAAGAUUGGGGUAGUUCAAUCUCAACCAGAUUACGACAAUAUUCUACUGAAAGAUAUCUUAUUCCAUCCAUAUUGCUUAGAUCAGGGAUCUGUAUAUUCAAACCUUUGAUUGUGACCCAUCGCAGUCUCUUCAAGCUUGACAGCUCAGGCAACUUCUGUAAAGAUCCACACCAUUUAAUCCGCAAUGUUUCCAAAGAUUGGGGUAGUUCGUUUUGAAUCUCAACCAAAGAUCCACAGCUGUCAAUAUCCAAUGUUUCCAAAGAUUGGGGUAGUUCGCCUUGAAUCUCAACUAGAUUACCGCAUGAUUCAAUAUACAAUGUUUUCAAAGAUUGGGGUAGUUUGCCUUGAAUCUCAACCAGAUUAUGACAAGAUUCUACUCUAAGAAGUGUUAUUCCAUCCAUAUUGCUUAGAUUAGGGAUCUGCAUCUGUUUAAUGCCAGAAAGCUGCAACCGAUUUCCACUUAAAUAUUCAAAAACCUGAUUGCCACUAUGCACAUACACAUAAACAUGUGUCUUACCCAUUAUGCUGAACGGAUCGGGGAACUUUUGUAACGAAUCACGGGAACCAAUUUUAAGUUCAUCCAAAAAUCGUGGUAGUUCGCCUUGAAUCUCAACCAGAUUACAACACCCCGAUACUGUAAUACGCCUUAGCUUGUUUAACUUGCUUAGAUCAGGUAGCAUCGCCAGCUGUACGACGUCCCGAAGGCGGAAAUCUCGUAGGUUCUCCAAACAACCAAGGCCUUCAAUCUUUGCAACUGCAGAGCAGCAAAUGUCGAGAUCCGAUAGUUUCCUCAAAUUCGAUAGAUCCAUCGAGCCAAGUGAGUCGCAACCAGAGAGACGUAAGACGGAUAAACUUGAGGGAAGCCUCAGGAGGAGAGGCGGAUGAGGAGGGAGGCUGAGGUCUAUCGAUGAGGCGGUCCCCCCGAAAAAGCACAGUAGCAGAGAUUCCAAUUUGCUUAAGUUCCCAAUCCACCAUGGUAUCCGUUUUUCCAGGAGCCCAUAAGAUUUCCCAUCACAGUUAGGUGGGCCAAAGCCCAGAUGCAAUACCUUUAAGUUAGCGAGAUUUGAGAGAUCUGGAAACGUGUCCACCCUCAACUCCUCCACUACUAAUUCGAUGAGACUUUCAGGAAACCUUGGUAGGGCGUGUACUCCCGGCCAUCCCAAUAUCUUUUCCCAUGAACGCCCGUAUAAGCAAUAGCCACUUAUUGCGUGGGCAUGCGUGACAUGAUUAUAACGGUCGGCGAUUUCCAUUCCCUUGACCUUCCCCAUCUUCUUACAAGCAUCAUUGUUCGUUCUGUUUUCGAAACCAUUCUGCAUCUUCAUUACUUUCAAAUUCUUCGACAUUCCAAUGGAAUCGGGUACUUCUUCGAUGCUCGUAUGACUUAUGUCCAAAGUUAGCAAAUCCAAAUUUCUAACCAUCUUUGGAAGCCUCUGAAGAUUCCAACAAUUGCUUACAUCUAAGAAAAUUAAGCGUUUCAACUGACAAAUUGAUUCAUCAAUUUCGAUUAAUGAUUCACAGCCUGAUAAGAUCAAAUGUUCUAAAUUUAAAUGAGCAAAGAAGUUGGGGGUUCUCUCCAAGCAUUGGCAAUGGGCCAGAUUCAGAACUUUCAAAUUCUUAAUCCCCUGUGAAAGAAAAAUCAUGCACAGAUUACUUUCAAAUUUAAUGAGAUAGAAGAACAAGUAUCGUCUAGCAUAUGACAUACCUUCAUGUGGCUCCACCCUUUCCAAUCAUGAGUAAUUUCACUCCGAGAUAGAUCAAGGAUAGUCAAAUUCUCUACGGAGAAAUUUGCAAUCUCAAAUGUUGGGUGAAUAUUAUGCCAAGAAAGCCAGCGUACUUCUGGAAGGAGAUUUGAAUCCAAAACAUCAGUUGGAAGAACACUUGAUGGCCCUUUGUGCUGAAGAAGCAUCUUUUCUACACAAAAAGUUUGCUCCGAGUCAUCAACUUCAAGGAACCUUAGCCUUGAUAGGCUCUUAAAGUCAUUGUAGGUAAAACCAUGCUGAUGGUCCAAGCGGAGGCGAAGAGCUUCAACUUUUUUCUUCGUCUGCCCAAAGGAAAUUUUUUAAAAACAAGAGAGUUGAAGGGAAACACAUUUAGCCAAAUUCACUAUUUUAAGGGACUGAGUUGAGUACUACCGUUCCAUUAAUCUUAAAAAAGCAAAAAUGUCCAUAAGUAACUUGGAAAUUAAUGCACAGGGGAUUUUACCUUAGGGCUCUUCAACAAAUCCAACGCUUUCUCACGAUCCCACACCCUACUUUGUUUAUUUAUAUUGGUUUCUUGACAAACUAUUUGUCUUCCAAGGUCUCUAAGUUGGUCGUGCAUCCACACCUUAUUAUCCUCUUUAAUCUUUACCAAAGACAUGUUCUCCAAAACAUCCAUGGCAUAUUCCGGAUGGAAUUCAAAUUCCCAAAAAUGAACUACAAUGUCUUUAUCAUAUCCAAUUAAAAGACAAGCUAUAUCAAGGAACUUUUGCUUUUCCUUUUCUUCUAAUUCAUCAUAACUUAUUUUCAAUCUACUCUGGACAUCCUUAUGAGGAUCACUUUCCCACUUACGUAAUUCGAAAUCCCACUUUUUCUUUUCAGUAGUGCAAGAUAAAAGUGAACCCAUGAGCUCAAGAGCUAGUGGAAGACCUCCAGCAAUUUUUAUCGCCCUCUCGGAUUGGUCGAUAUACUCGUCCAAAGGAUGAUCUCUUCUAAAGGCAUGUUUGCUAAAGAGUUGAAGAGAUUGAUCGUGAUCCAUGCCCGAAAGCUCAUAACAACUGUCCACUUUAAGAACAUCAAGAACUUCUUUGUUUCUAGUAGUAAUAAUAAUUAUGCUCCCUUUACCAAACCAAUCACGCUCACCAACAAGUGCAUCGCUAUGAUUCUUUUCAUGUACAUCAUCGAGAAGGAGGAGGACUCUUUUGUUAGACAACCUGGCUUUGAUGGUAUUAAUCCCAUCAUCAAUGUUUCUUAUAUCGGUGCAUUUGUCUUUGAGGAUGUCGGAGAUGAGCUGAUUCUGCAAAGAUUCAAUGCCCUUGCGUUCUGACAUUUCACGAAUGCUGGACAGAAAGCAACAACCCUCAAAUUUUUCUAAAAGCUGAUUGUAGAUGAUUUUGGCAAUUGUCGUCUUUCCGAUGCCACCCAUCCCAUGAAUUCCUAUAAUCCGUGUUUCACUUGUCUGAGCACCUAUUUGUUCCAUGAUUUUACCCACAUGGUCGUCCAUAUUGACCAAGUUGUUUGAUACCACCAAAUAAGCCUUUUUCAACUCAUUGAAAACCUUCUGCGUGAUUGUUUUUGCAAGUUGACCUUCUUGCCUAUUGUUUGUUGAAAGUCAAAAGGCAAUGAGUUAGAAAAUUGAGUUAAGCCAAACUAUGCUCUGACAAGACCAAAUUCAAAACUACAGACCUAUUCUAAAUGCGUUCCUCAACGAUUUAUACCGUUUUGAUAAACUAGCACUAGAACUUAGGGUAAAUGAAUGACCUGAACUAACGAAAAAUGUUUCUUGUUGGGAAUGAAAUGGGACAAAAAUUGGCAUUGUGAUAUUAUUUAGCGUGAUUUUGCUGCAUAAUUUCAAUUGCAUACAAUUCAAUUUCAACAAGACUAACACAAAUCUAGAAAAGAAACCAAUUAAAAUGCAUCGAGUUUAAAGAUAUAAGGCACAUGAGAUGGAAUCCUAAAAGCAGUCACCUGUUGGGCAUGCUUUGCAGGUCCCAUCCAUUUACAUCCGCGACUGUAGUGAGAGCAUUCUUCCACUCUGCUAUAGUCUUUUCAUCAUAUCGCCCCUUUGUUUUGUGUGAAACAAGAGCUUUUUUAAAACUCCCGAUUUGGUGUCGAACCUCCGAAGGUGUCACAUCAUAAAAAAUGGGCAUGAUCUUUUGUCCUUCAUUUGUCUGGUGCUUGACCAUCUGAACUAGCUCCUUGAGACACCAUAUGCUAGAGGCAUAAUCUUUUGAAAAAAUAGGUAUUGAGAUCCUUGAGUGAUUGAUUGCUUCAAGAAGUUCUGGGGCAAACUCUUCUCCAAUGUGGAGGUCUUUGUCGUCCUUAAAUGUGCGGAUUCCCACAUUUGUAAGGCUAGUGUAGAGGUAGUCGGUAAAACCUGAUCGUGUAUCUAGCCCUCUGAAACUCAAGAAUACCUCAUAGUCAUGUCCGGAUGAUGUUGCAGUUUCCUCAACUUGUGGUGUAGUGCAAGUACGAGCAGCCCUCUCUACGAUACCAUUCUCUGUAGCUGAAUCAUUAUCUGUACUGCCCUCCACAGCGGUCUAACCUGCUCUUUUCUUCAGGAAUCCUUUGAACAGGAUGG
rnacentral:lncRNA from 1 species